rnacentral:lncRNA from 1 species
GCAUGGAUAAGGUUUUGAAGGAAGAACACACAAGAUCCCACAUCCGUUCUACUCUAUCAAAAUCAAAAUAUAUAAUCAAAUUGAUUGGAGUUCCAACUUUGCCAACAAGCUCUACAAAUAAAACAACAAAGCCCUACAAAUACAAGAACUUGAAACUUUAAUUCUUACACAACCAUAGCCUGAUUUCAUUGAAACUAAAGAUAUAGGUUUUUGAAUUGUAACUCAGAUCAAAAUAAGUAAGGAGUAAAGCAGAGGGGAGGAAGGUGGCAUAUAUCAGUAAUGGCGGUCCAAAAACUAGAAAAAACCCCACAAUGGCAUUCAGAUUAGUCAUAUUCCUUCUACUACGGACUAUAUUUACAGCUGUUUAGCUGGAGCAUGACAUGGUAUUAGUUUAGUUAAAAGAGAAAACUUCUAGAAGAAAUGGAAGUAAGAAUCAAGAGUCAGUUCACAAAGUUUAAACAAGAAAGCAUUUUUUGACAAAUCCAUUCCUCGAAACUGUUGCACCUCGUGAACCACCCAAACAAACUCUUAAAGAGGAAAUGAAUUAGAGUUAUUAUCCAAAGAGCAACCAAGGUCGAGCUGUACACAAGCUACAAGAGUCUACUCAAAGCUCAAUCAAAAACAAAAGUCAAAGAGCAUUUUGUCUCCUUAUCAAUUGAAACUUGGCCCAAAAUCCGAAAAAUAAAAAAAAAACAGACCUCAGUUCCAACGGCUAAGUAUCAUCUUUCUCCCUAAACAAAAACUCAGCCAUAUUUCGUUAUAACUAAAACCAACAACAUUCACAGAAACCUCCCACCCUUCAACCCCAUUAAAGCCACGAAACUACAGAAAUUAACCAACCCCAUUUCCCAAACAACUCCAAUAAGCAUAAAAAUUGCAAAUUGCACCUAUUUAAACAAACCCAAAUGAAAAAAAGAGAUGAUAUUGAAAGAAAACAUACUCAGCAAGAUCACCAAGUUGCCUCAAGAUCCCGACAAGACCAGCCACAGCCACACCAUCCAACACAGCUUUAGGGUCCUCUCUGUUUGUCUUUCUGUACAACUCAGGCUGCCCCAAACCGAACUCAUUCCUCACCUGCAACCUCACCAGAGGCAUCUUCCUCUCACUCAAACAGUGAAAGCCCAAAACAAAGUACUCUUUUAUUUACCCCCUUCUAGCUGUUAACUCUUCUGCUGAAACCAAUGAAUGUGCGUGUGGAACGAGAAGCAUUAAAUGAACGAAUUAAGAGAGAGAGAGAUAUCAACAACAAAAAAAUGGAUUCUUUUUUAGUUUAAAAGAGAGAAAUUAGGUGGGAGUGUGGAUUGAAGCAGCUUAACUGCCAAAGAGAAGCGACAAAGAGUGAGAAAGCAGGUUAAGUGUACGGAUCGGUGAGGUAAGGGAGAAGAAGGACAUUGCCAACUCUGCAAGCCAUUCUUGAACGGAAAUCAUUGUCUGAGAAAAACAUGGCUGGAAUUCACUACUCCCAAAAUACCCUCUGUCUUUGCUAAAAUGCCUUACGUGUCCCAAAAGUGUUGUGUGAUAAUAGAUUGAAUAAUCAAAUUCAUGUAUGAAAAUAUAAUAAAUUUAUGAGAUAAUUUUGUUAAUCGAUUUGUUAGCACCUUUAUUGUAGCAUCUUUUAUUGUCAGCUUUUUGAGAAUUUGUCCUCUAGGAUAUUUCAUGGUGUCACUUCACCCGAGGUUCUUGUUGGUGAGAAUUUCUCUUUAUAGGUAAUUCUAUUUGAGAUCACCACAAUUUAUUUUGAUUGUUUUAAGGAUCAGUUUGUAUGAACUAAUAGAUGAAUUUUCAACAUGUUUUAUUUACAAUUGUAUAUUUUUUGAAAAACUUUCAAAAACAUAAUACAUCUUAUAAUUAUUUUAAGUCAAAUAUAUUACCUAAAAGAUUCUUAAUAUAAAUAAUACUAAUUAAUUUUUUUAAAUUACCAUCAAUUAUAUAUGUGGAGUGUGACAAAAAAAAUGUGGCUUUCUAUGGCUCCGAACCUUCGACGUGGGUACCACAAACUUUUUGAGGUUUGGUCAAAAUGGUAAAACGCAAAGGGACCCUAACGCUAGACAUGAAUCGGAGCAUGUUCAAUUUUUGUUUCUGAAAUCCUACUGGGUCAACUUAUGAAAGGAAAGAAUAAAAAUAAAAUAAAAUUGAGAAUAGUGAAGAAGUAGAAUUCUACGUAUGUGAUGUGGAUAAUGCGAGAAAGUGAUGUUUAUGAACGCAAAAAUACGGUGCUUCGGGUGACAAUUACGGAUGGAAUGGUUUCUGAUUUUUCAAUUUCAAGGAUUUAAUGCUAAGAUCUACAAUUUGUUUUAUGUGGUGGGAUAUUAUGUAUAUAGCACCAUAGCUAGAAUCAUGCGGCAGCCUUAAAUAGUUCAAGGAUUUAAUGCUAAGAUCUAAAUUUUUUAUGUGAUGGGAUGUGUAUAGCUAAAAUGCUAGAAUAUUGAUUAGUUAAAAAAUAUUGAAAAUGUUGUAUAAAAUUUAUUAAUAUAUUGAGAAAUUGAUGGAUUUUUCAAGGGUAGUAGUAGUAGUACGUACCUAGAUAGCCAUUCAUAAAUGAAUUAUAAGAAAGCAGUUGAAGUUAUUUACUUGAGCUACUAAGUAAUGGCGACUGCGUGUUACACUCUGUAAUCUUUUCUUGCAUGCUAAUUAAUUUGGUUCUAAUAAGGAGAGAGAGGGAGUAAUGGCAUGGCAAGGGCUACAUAAAUCUAAGUACGAAAAUGGUAUUUUUGUCAAAGAAAAUAAGAAAAUAAAAUGAAAGAAACGGGAAAAGGAAAGUGAUAGAAAGAGAUUUGUCAUUAAUAAGAGUAAGGGGCAAACAAAUUCAUGUGUCAUUUGCCAUACAUCAUAAAUGUAGAUAAGGUAAGUUUUUUCUUCCUUUCUGGAGUUGUUAAGCUAAAGUGUUCAGUGGAUGAAUUGUAAUCCACGUCUUUCAAAAAUCUAUCUGUCUAGUAAUAAAAUGUAAUUUUAAAUGUAUUACGUGAUAUACCAAAAACUAGAUAUUUUGAUAUAUAGUCUAUCUGAGUGGAAAAUGGUUAACAACAAAGAACAUAAUCACCAUGAUAAGCCAGUUUUUUGUGAGGCUUUAAUUCGACAUUGUAGUCAACAGUAAAUAUGCAUUCUAAAAAAAAUGCACGUUUGUUAGGGGAGUAGUUAACAGUAAUACUAACAAAAACAAUAACUUAGGGCAAUUCUCACCAAAUCCUUGAGGAAUAAAAUAUGAUCAAUUGUCUCUUUCGCUGAGUCAAUAAGCGUUGACUAACAAAUCUAGAGGUUAAACGUUUGGUGAAAGGUUUCACUUGAAACAGUUAUCAAGAAUCUUUAUUGGCUUUCACUUCACCCAAAACAAAUGCCAUUUGAUCCCUUUGAUUCUAAUUAUAUUACUACUAUCAAAUUGAUCAUUAUACUACUAUUAUUCCCGGGUCAUUGUAGUAACACUCUGAAAUCUUUGAGAGAGCUACAUAUUUUUAAUUUGGGUUUCCUAAUCCUAGUUUCAACCAAUACACGCAUACUCCCUAAUUGGGUCAGUAGAAAGUAUAAACGCGCCAUUUAUUUUAAAACAUUUUUUUUAUUGCGUGUGAUACAUGGUUUACCGACAUUAAAUAUAUUUUAUUGAAUUGAAUUAUUUAAAUAAUAAGACGAACAAAAAUUAAAUUACAUCGACAUAACUUAAAUAAUUAUUACAUCAUUUAAUAACUUGAUGUAGAAUAUAAUUUUUAUUAAUUCAAUCAUUAACUACAUUUACAUAUUAUUAAAAUUUUCUAUGUCAAAUUUUAUCAAAAUUAAACAAAAAUAAUCAAAUGAUCUAUAUUUUAAUAUAUUUUGAAAAAAUUAUAUUACAUUAAUUUUAAUCUAUAUGAAUUAAAUAAUAAAUAAUUUUAAAUUAAUAUGAAAUUUUAAUAUGAUCUAUGUCAAAGAAAGUUUUAAUUUAAUAAUAAAUUUUAAGAAAAUAUUAUCUAAUUAAAAAUUAUUAACGGAUGUAAAUUGUAAUACUUUAUCAAAGUUACAUGUAAUUUGAUAUUUCAUUAAGUUUUAACAUAAUAAAUAUUUACCCCAAACAACUAUUUUAACUUCUCAUCAUGCUAUCAUGAAUACAUAAUAAAAAUAUCUUUUAAUAAAUAUUAAACAAUAACUAUUAUGGUAGACAAGAACUAUUUUAACAGAUAAUUAAAUACCAUAUUUGUUGUUUUGUUCAGGGUCACUUUAUAAAAAAAAUCUAUUUAUUUUUUAUUUUAAAAUUUCAACGUAACAUUUUUUUAAUUUUAUCUUCAUCUCAGAGAAAAAAAAACAGUUGUUUGUUGUUUUGUUUAAAAUAUUUUUUAGUAAUUAAUAAAAGAUAUAACUAUAGAAGAACAGCUAGAAUAUAUUAGAAAAAAUGAAAAUAAUUUUAACAUAUUAUUAUAUUCUUAAUCCGAGUGUAAAAUCUUUAAACCACAAAUAAAAUAAUAGUUGUCUUUAUUUUUAGGAAUUUGUUCCUUUUUUUUAAUGUCCCUGACAAUCCCAAAGAAUUCUUGGUACUAAUAAACAAUAACACCAAAUUUAUUAUUAAUAAUAGCAUAAUUAAAUUUACUAUGCGUUAUUAAUUUCAUAUGAUUGGAUAAAAACAUAAAAUAAAAAAUUCACAUUAAUAUUUGAAUCAUUUUCAUCGUUUAAAUACAAAAAUAAAAAAAAUGCAUCAAUGAUAUGACAAAAAGAAUAAACCAUUAUCAUUCAGUAUCGAAUAUUUAUUUCGAACAUGGGCAUUUUAAACAAAUUUAAAAUGACCAUAUCAAGUUGUGGUUGAUUAUGAUUUACUAUAUCUGAGUCAACAUUAUUAUAUAAUCUAACAUAAUUCCAACAAAGUGCACAACGGCACUCUGCUUGCCAAAUCCAAUGCUGCCAUUAGCUGAGUAGUGGAAAGUUCACGCUGUUGCGUCACAGUAAUCUAUGAAGACAGGCAGUGCCCAUAAUUAGUCCUUCAAUUUGUUUAGGUUUCACAAUAUUCAAAGGGAUAGAAUAGAACUUAUAUUUUAAUUACUUUGUCAAUUUAUCAUAAAUCAGAUCGUUCAAGUUAUUGGAUUGUGAAAAGAAGUACGUGAAAGCAAUCAAAUAUAAUAAUACGUGGCAGGCUAGAUAAGUAAAGCCAAUGUGUUAACAUGUCUUUAGGCAUCUUUGGCCAUAAUUAAAGGGUCCAUGACUGCUCAAUGCAAUUAAUUAUAUAUUCAGCCAAAUAAGCUACUCCUUUCUCUGAGUAUGAAUUAAAUAGUUGGAGGACUUCAAUUUUCCAUUCCUUUUCUUCCUGGUCUUUUUUUUUCUUUAUCUUUUCUUUGUGGCCUUUUAAUUUAUGUGUCAUUAAUUUGUUGCUUAUUUUCGUUAAAAUUAAAAUAUGGUACAUAAAAAGUAAGAUGUUUGUGCUGUCCCAUUUCUUUACAGAGUGAUAUUUAUUAAUUCAUACGGCCAGUUCAAUGGGUUAGUUUCCUUUUUCAUAUGUCAAUUUUGAAACAACUCGAGUCCUAAAUACGUAUGCUUAACUCUUACUUAGCACGGGGUAGAAAAAAUUAAAAUAAAAACGGUAAAUCUAUCAAAUCUACUCAAUUUAUACUUUCAUGAGUAGUAUAUUAUAUUGUUUUAAAUAUAUUUUUAAUCUCAAUUAUCACUAGUAUAAAAAUGUUUUUAAACAACACCUAAAGUUUUAAAUAGAGUAUCUCUUCAACCAUAUGUGUUUUAGUAUUUUGAACACCCCACGCUCACAAACUUUGGAAAUCCCUUUGCAAUAGAAUUUUUUAAAUAACUCUUGUUUGAUUUAUCCGUACGCAGGUAUCAUUGUAUCAAGGCUUCAAGAAAUCAUAUGGCGUAUCAUUAGUAAAGUAAGGUGAGAAAUUUCAUUUCUUGAUUUUGUUUGUUUGUUUGUGUCUUCAAAUAGGAUUCUUAAAGUUCGAUAUUUCUUUAAUAAAUAAAAAAAUGAAAUAUUAAAUAAAAGGGGAGACAAAGAUAACAGUUUCACAUGAUAUUCACGUGAGCUACUUACACAUCAAAUACAGAUAAGGGCAAUCAGGUGAUGGGAUCAUGGUACCUGUGCUGUGCUCACCAUUUCUCUAUAAAAUACUGAAGCUACAUAGAUCAUGCCAAUGAAAUAAAUUAAUAUGUAUGGAGGUUUCGAAAGAUAAUUUUUAAAAAUAUAUAUAUUUUUUAAUUAUGUCUUGAUUAAAUUAAUUAGCCACUAAGAGUUACAUCACAAACCAUUUAUUUAGGUGUUUUACAAUUAAAAUUUCUUAUGUUGAUGUACAUAUAAGAAUAGGCGAAAUUAGAGGAUGAAGCAAAUAAGAAGCUUUAUGGGGCAUUCGACCGAUAUAUCUCAAGCUAUGCAUCUCUGUGUGGAGGUUUCAUAUUUUGCAGCUUCUUUGGAUUGUUCAAACACCUUGUGGGAAAUUCUUUUCUUAAUAAUAUUUUUUUGCCUCUUCAAAAUAAUAAUUAUAAUAAUUAAUGUUGCAAGUUAUAUCAAUUGUUGUCAGAAAGCCAUCAAUCACGAACCGCAAGUAUGAUUAACUAUUGAGUCACUCUCUUAUGACUUAGGCCUAUUCUUCGAUUUUUAGUUGAGAUAUUAAUUAAUUAGUUAGCAUGAUAGGCUAAUUAUAUACAAUAAAUAGAAUACUCCUCACACCAUAUGUCCUUGCGGAUUUCAACAUGAGACGGUCACACCACCAUCACAAACUAAAUACAUAAUCGAUUAAAACAACUAUACAUCGCAAGAGCCAUCGUUAAAAAGAAAGAAAAAAAACUAUAUAUCGAAAGAAUAUAUACCGACAAAAAAAAUAUAUUAAUUGAUUCGCUCUGGGAAAUUAAGAGUUUCUCAAUAUUGACUAGUUAGCGCGUUAGAUGGAUGUUAACACAGCUUUAAUAUGCAAUUAAUCCAACCAUGUUACAUCUCAAAGACAAAGAAGAUGUUUAAUUAACAUAUUUUUAAUUUUAUAGUCAUUUAAUGCAUAAACUAACAAGGCUUUAAACUCAAGGUAGUGGUGAAGCAGCAUAACUGAGGUUAAUUAUCCUUCUAUGUGUAGUUACUCUGUUAUGUUCAGUUAUAGUUAAGUCUUUGGUUCUGGUUCAUGUGUAGAAUGUCACAUGUAAAUAUUGUAACUGACUUUGUACACUUGAUCAAUCAAGAAAAAUGAUUCCUAAUCUGGUAUCAGAACUUGGCCAAGAGUUCUGGUUGCAUGAAUCUAUAUUCUUCUCAUUGUGAUUCUUUCCAUCGUUUUCUAUUACCAUCUCCUCUAAAAUUAUGGCAAAUCAGAGUUAUUCUAGUUUUCUCACCAAUCCAUCAAUCCCUCUUUUCUUCCAUCUCAAGUGCUUUUUUUUCCUCCAUUAAAUGGUAGAAAGUAUCAUGCAUGGGCUAGAACAAUGAAACUGACUCUUUUUGCCACAAGAACAAAUUGAAGAAUGUCUAUGGUGGUAUUCCUGUUCCAUACUUUCAUUGAUGUCAAAUCCGAUCCAUGCAGUUGGGGCUUGCGAGAGGUGUAAUGUGAUGGUUCUUGCAUGGAUUCAUUGUUUGAUUUAGGACUUUAUGUUGCAAUCCAUCUGUGCAUAGAUCAAGUUUCGGAUCGAAUUUGCAAAGGGGUUAUUCUCAAAAUCUUUGAUCUGGUACAGAACACCUAUCCUAUGCAUCAAGAUACACUAACUGUCACUGAGUAUUUCACUGAAUUAGAAUUCUUAUUGAAUGAAAGAUAAUUUCAAGCCUGCUCCUAGUUCCAUGCGUUUGGUUUUGGAGAAAGUCAUUGUAAUUUUAAGGGGUGUUGGGUAUUUAGAUUUACAUGCAGGGAAAGGGAUAUAAUUGUGUGGUAGCAUGCUUUCACUGCUCCUAUUUUUUUUUACUGGCAAAUGUUAGUAGUCAUUAGUUUGUUAACACAAAGAUUUGAACUCAAAAUCUUUCUCUUUUCUUCUCUUUUCACCAUCUAGACAACCUUAUAUAUCUUAUUCAUAUUACUUGUAUCAGUGUUUAUCUUAGAAAGGACACACCUUGUGUUGUUCUCUAAGUUUUAUUAUCAAUAAAUUUCACUUGACUUAAAAAAAAACAGUUGUUUUAGACAUGUUAAAUGUGUGAUGCAUAUUUUUCUUUUGAAAAGAAACAUCUAAAUUAGGAUAAAAAAAAAUUGUUUGAAAUACGAUUCAAACUAAACAAUAAACAUGGCUACCAAAGAAGACGCUGAAAUACAAGCCGAGAGAUAGUAUGUUUGGAAUAAAUUUAUGGCAGAAAAAAAUUACUUAAUUUUUGACAGUGAAAAUAAAAUUAUAAACAGUUACUUUUUUUUUUAUUGAUAAUACUAUGAUUUUGUAGGAUAGACUAUAAUCAAUUACAUGUUAUCCAAAUACUCUAGAAGCCAGUGAUGGCCGUGGUCAAGUUUGAAAACUGGCGCCAGGGUGGAGGCUCCAGGUUUGUUUGAUGUGCUUGCAAGUGUGUCUGUAUUUUGCAAGAUUUUUGACAAGUUUUCUUUCACUUUUUGGUAGGCCCAUUCCUACCCAGUGGUCCAACCCACAUAAUUAGCCAUUGGCAGAGUAUUAUCUGACAUCAAUGGUCCAAGAGACCAUGUAGCAUUAAAUCCCAAAAGCCUUCAUACAAUUUCGUCCCUUGGAAUGAGAUCAUUGUAAACUUUUUUUUAAUUGAUAAAUAUUAAUUUAUUAAAAUAUUAAUUUUAUUAGUAAAAGGGAUUGAAUCACAACUUUUUUUUUCUCGCCCAACUUACAUUAUAUCUCUUAUAGUGUUAUUGUAAACACAUUUAGCUUCUACAUCAGCUAAUAGGCUCAAAAGUAAAGUGCUAUUUGAUUAGAUCGUAGAAUUAAGGCACCGAAUUUAGGACUCAUUCAAUUAUGGAGGGGAUAUGUACCAUAGCACCUACCAUUCCACGCUUCGGAUAAAAUAAAAAUAUAUAGCAAACUAAUAAAAAUGUUUACGUGUUAUCACCAUGUUGAUUAAUGGGAUAGUCUUAGAUCGAGAGGUCACAUUCAAACUUUUAGAGAAAGCUCUUUGUCCCUGCAAAGUAGCUCAAGUGGUAGUUAUCAGGACACGGGUUGAAAUCUUCCCUAUAACACAAAUCAUUGUGUUUGAUCUUCCAUCAGGGAAAUGUUUUGGUCACUAAAUGCAGUUGAUUGGGUAACAUAGCUACCAACACCCCCGAAAACAUCAUACUAUAUAACAUGAAUAAAUAUAAUUAAUAAGCACACUCUCUUAUCUUGCCUCAACUUCUCUCACACAUAGAUCACUGGCUCUAGUGAAUUCACUUUCAUAAUCGAAUAUAAGGCCCACAUUGUCACCAAUAUGCUAUGGCAUUUUGUCUGGAGCUGGUUCUCUUGAGAAGUUGGGAAACACUAUGUCCAAUAGCUUUUGUUCAAUUCAUCUUAUUUUUGGUUACUAAUUUGGCCCAAGUAGUCUACCUACAUGGCUACAUCACCAAGCCCAUACAAUCCAAUUAUGUUAGCUUAUGGAUUGGACAGUACCUCCAUAAUUGUGCUCAAAUUUGAGAUCCUUAAGUCAACCCACAUAAGCUGAAGUAGUAGCCGGGAAUGGUUGUCUUUCAGAGCUUUACAAUAUGGAACUGUAUCAAAUUUCCCAUCAUCCUUCUUUUCAGCAAUUGCUUUGCAUGAGUCAUCUUUGCUUUAUUGCUUAGCCACAAAUGGAUUCAAACAUGAUCUGACAAGCUGUGGGAACACCCAACAUUUGGUGUUUAGCUUCUUAGCAUAAUUGUAUCAGUCUUGAAAAUUUGUUGCUCUGCCCGUUGGUGAAUAUUAUUGAUUAUUGAUAUGAUUGGCCUGUUAUGUGGCUUAUAGUUUAUGGGCUUAAAGUAUGGAUUUGUUGUUACCAUUAGACCAGCCCAAAUGCUCCAUCAUGAGCUAUAAUUAGUAUGCGAAAAUUAAUACCUCUUAACUCAAUUUUUUUUAUCAAUUUUAGGACAGUUUUUUAAAAAUUAAGCGAAUAUUUCGUUAAAUUCAAGCUAAACCAGCUAUUGUGCACAUUGUAGCUCGAACAACCAGCUAUCCUUUUGAGCUGCUGAGAAUUCCUCUCACUCUUUCAACAUUUCCCUAUUGCCUUUUUAAGUUAAUUUUGUUAGGGAGAAUUCCUCUCACUCUUUCAGCAUGUUUCAUAUAUAAACAAAAAGACAUAAAUAUAUAAUGAACAUUUAGCCUCAACUUAGAAGUAAACUUAAUUCUGCUUAAGAUAUGCUUAUUUGCUGUUGUAAUCUUAUUAUCGUUUCUUUUAGAUACAUAUAUACUUGUCUUGGCUCUCUGGUAAAAUGGUUCUAGAGAGACAAAUAAUAAUAAAUAAAAAAGUUAAGUAUCUUAGAAAUAAUUCUACAGAGUAGUAUAGUAGAAUAUUAAAAUAUAAUUUAUAAUGUUAUUUAGUUUUUAUUUUAAUUUCCUAAAGGCAGGUGUAGGAUUAUAAUUAUUUAAUUGUUGGCAUUUGUUAGGUUACAUAUAUAAAUGUAUUUAUCCUACCCUAUCAGUAUAAAUGAAAAAACAUUUGCUAGGUUAAUUACAUUUGUUAUGGUAGUGUAUAUAUUUCACAUUGACUGAUCUCUCGAGAAUGGCCCUUUACUUUGACGCCUUCACUAUUAUGAGGGUUCUUCUUUAGUUGUCUUCCUGUUUGUUUCUCAAAAUCUACCCAGAAAACGCCAUUCACUAUAAUUUCGGAUCCUAAUAAGGGAGCCUUAAGAUGGUUUAUCCAUCUCCAAAUUAAGUAAUAUCGAUACAAAAACAGUUUAGUUCUGUCUCAUCCUGAUCUUAUGCCUACUGCUAGAAUGCUGUGAUAUAUAUAUGGUGCCAGCAACUGUUGAUAUUCUAUCUUUAUAAUGAAAAUUUUCAUGUCUCUUUUUAGGCUGCUUUUUUUAAUAAUCAUUUUCAUGACUAUUUUACAUGUGAAUUUGAAGGAUGACAUGGGAACUUAAUUCUUUCCCAAAUAGAAUACUCAAUAUAUUGUUAAAGAUGUGAUUUUUUUUUCAUUGGAAACAUGCAUUCAAGCAAGAGAAUCAACUAUCCUUUAACCAAGAGAUAUUAUUUAAGCAUGAGAUGUGACAUUAUUAUUUAAUAAACGCUGAUUGAAUCCAUCAUAUAUUUUGCGAGAAACAAAUUAGAGUGGGUAAGCAAAUUAUGCUGCGAAACAGAUUCAGUAUUCACAAAUAAAAUGCUUGGGAGAAGAAAGUGCAUGUUGCGUUGAUAACCAGAUUAUAAUCUCACUAUUGCAGCUAUCAUGAGUGCGUGACCAAGUUUUACGAUUCAUUCAGCCUAUCCUUGGAAGAAGCAGGAUGGAUAUAAAAAUGAAUCGAUUGAGAGUUGAAGCUGAAAUUAUUGAGUAUCCUUGUCUACAACAUGAAAUGAAGACUUUAAUUGUUAGCUAAUACUUAUUUGAACAAAAUAAAAUUAUUAGAUGAAGAUCCAUUUUUACUAUUUUAUUAUAGUUUUUUUUUAUUUUCAAUAAUUAAAGAAAAUAAAGUGAAUGAUCCAUCCUUUUUUUUUGUUUGGUUAGAUUAGAAAGUAGAAUAAAAAAAUGGAAAAGUCAAUUUUUAAAAAUAAAAACUUAAAAUUUUCCUUUUCUCAUUUCCCUAUUUUUUUUUAAUUUCAUUUUUUCCUCGACUAGCUUUCUUAUUUUCUAAGGGUAACAAAGAAACUUCUUAUAUGAGUAUCAUUGCUUAUAUACUAUUUUUUUUAUCAAUAAAAAAGAAUUAUUUUUCUAUAAAUAUAAUCAGUGCAAAAAUUAAGAAAAUUGAUUAAGCACUCACUUUAAAAACAUUAAUAUUUGAGUAAAUUUUCAUAUAGAAUUCUUAAUUUAUGUGACAGAUCUAUAAAUUGAAGAUAAAUAAUUUAUUUAAAUAAUCAUGCAUCAUAAAUAUUCUUAAUGGAGACAAAAAAAAGAGACGAUAAAAUUGACAAUAAAAAUGUCAUUUUAGAGACCAAAAAAUAAUUAUAAAUCAAAUCAGCAAGAACCACUUCAGACUGGAUCACUGAGUGCAGUCCUCGCUAGAAAACAUUUUAUCAGGUCCUUUUAUUUGAGAAAAAUCAAAGGACCACAAAAGAAAAUUAAAAUCAGGAUGGAAUAAUUUGAUUGAACAUCCACACUGACCAGAUAAAAAUUCCAUCUGGAAUGUGCUGCAAUCCAUAUUGACAUUUUUAAUCCCAGCUCUAACCUGCUGUACUUUAUGGAAAGCAUUUUGUUUUUCAGAAAUGAUAUAGGAUGACAGAAUCAUUCCUCCCAAGCAGAUCAUGUUUAUCAAAGAAAAGGCACUGCAACAUUGGUGACCCGUUGAGCUUUCUGGUUUAUGUUUUUCAACUUUUUUUUAGAAAAAUGGUACGUGGGAUACUCCAAAACAUCAUGUUUGAGGUGAGUAACUUGGAGGUGAUUAUGAAAAAAAACAUAAGAGAAUGAUAGUAGUUAAUUAGUUGUUUCAAAUCAAUACUUUACUUUUGCCCUUGAAAGAACAUUUGAUUCAAAACGAAUAAAAAUAUUGAGAUAAAGAUUUUGUAUUGAUUUGAAAAUUUUAUACUAUAUUUUAAUGCUAUUUUUUCAAGAUUAUUUUUUUUAAAACACAAAUGGCUCUACUUUAAAAUUAAUUUUAAUCAAAAUCAAUUUUAUAAAAACAGAAUUACCUAAAAUGAAGCUUAUGCUGAAACUAAUCUUGCCCAUGUCGUCCUUCUGUUAAAGAAAUGUAGAAUUUCCAAUCGUUGGUGUCAAUUACGGUUAUAUUUUACUUGCUAAAAGUAUACUAUAGUAUAAAAAAUAUGCUUUCGUAAUUACAGUCAUAAUAAAUUAUGGAAAAAAAUCUCAAAUUGAAAAAUAUUAGAAUCUGAUUUACAGUUAUGAACCCCGAUGUCUUACGGCUCCAGGAUGAGAAAUGUAUAUAGUAGAACUUGAACUAUGAUUCGUUAUUAUUGGAACUUAAUCAAGGAUCGAGGAUUAAAGAAAUUAAUAAAAGUUUCUUAUUCUAGGAUGAAUAAAGAGUCUUUGAUAUAGGGGACCAGGGAACCCUGAAGUAACCGGAGAUUUCAUCAUUUAAUUGGAGACAGUUGAGAAGAAAGUGGGGGCCAUUUCACGUGCUUGUGCUAUUCUCUUACGCUUUGCUUGGGUGGGAAAGAAAAAGAAAAAAAAAUAAAGAAAUAAUAAAUUUUAUAAAAUAAUUAAUUCUAAUUAAAAAAUUAAAUUUAAUCUAAAAAGAUUUAAAUUUUUACACAUAUACACAAUCUCAAGGAAUAAAUCUGUGCUAAAACGAAGAUUGGACAAGCUGGUUCAACCAAAAAUGGUGAACUGAUUAAACGUCCCCGAUCCAAAUAAAUUAUAAAAUUGACCAUGAGAAAAAUUGAUAAAAAAAUUGUAAAUUUUUUCAAAUUUAGCCAAAAAUUGGUUCACAACGAGUCAAUAAAAAACAUUUAAUGUAAUGUCGUUUUAAUUUUUUUAAAAGUAAUUAUUUUUUUUGUUUUAGACGUGAACUUAUUAUUAUUAAUGAACCUUGUCGUGUAUUUUAAAUGCCAUUUUUUUCACAGAAAUUUGUAUAUUAAACGUUAAAAACUUAUAAAAUGCUUUUAAAUUCGGAGACAACAGAUACUGACAUUUGUCAUACAGAUCCAACUGACCAACACCAACACUGAAAAAGUGGAAAAAGAGAAAAAAAAAAAUGAAAAGCAUUGAAUGAAGGUAUUUUCGUAACGUCAUAACUCAUAAUCUCUGUCUAAUUACUAUUGAUAAAGCUGCUUAUAUUCAUUUUGCGCAUAAUCUUUGCCUUUUCUAUUUGAAUGACUAGAUAUACGCUGCCAAAUUGCCUUAAAAUUAAAAUUAGACUAAUCUGGUCAGAAGUCGUAUAAAGAUGCAUAAUUAAAGUUUCCAAGAAUAACAUAAUUUAAUAUUGGCUUACAUUGUUUACAACCUAAGUCUUAUCUAACUGGCCGGCCUAUCAUAUUGAAAAAUGAAACCCUUAAUACAAUAAACUAUAAUUUUAUUCUUACACCUAUUUUAAAAAAAAAAUUACAGUUUAGCAAGAAAUAAAAAAAUUGUGAGAAUUAUUAUAAUAACAUGAUCUAAAAAUAAAAGAUUUUUUUAAAACUUGCAUGCGACACAUUGUAAGUUUGAGUCUCCCAUCUCCUUUAAAUGAUGUAAAUAAAAGUUUUUAUUUUUUAAAAAAAUGAUGUAAGUCAAGGGAUUUUUCUCACUUCAAACUAUAGUACUAUCUCUUUUUCGUUGAAUAUAUUACCUAUAAAAAUAUUGCAUUCUUUGUUUAGAAAUAUUUGAGUUAAAUUUAUUUACUUAAUAAGUUAAGUAAAAAAAUGAUAUCUUAUUUAGAAAUAUACAUUAAGUUUUAAGCACUGAUCAUCUAAAUUUUUAGUGCAUCACAUAUUAACUUAUUUAAAUAAAUAAAUUAUUAUUAUUAUUAUUGUUAUUUUCAUGUGUGUUCACUUUUUUUUAAGAUACACUAAUGUCAUUUGACAAAUUUGUAAUUUUUUUUCUGUUUUACUCUUAAGGUAGUAGUUAAUGUGAAAAAAGACCUUUGUCAUUGUGGGGUUUACUGUCAAGACAUAAACUUGUAUUGAUAAAAGGUCACCGGCAAAUUUUAUCCACUCCCAAAAGGAUAAUAUGAUGUGAUCACUUCCAUCAUUGACUUAAGAUGUUAAUUAUAAAAAUUAGGUAUGACCAAAUGCAUACUAAAUUUGAAAAUGGCAGCAUCCAAAUCCAGUGAAACACAGGUAAAUAUUCGAGCUGACGCCCAAAGAAAAUACUAGCAAAAUCAUAUAGUCCACUAAAGAGGAAAUAAAAGUGUCCCUAACAUAAAUAAUUAAGAGAUGAGACAAAAAAAUAAAAAGCAUAACCAUGUAACUCAAAAAGAAGGGAGGAGCAGGAUAGCUACCUCAGUUUUUUUAAUUAUUAACAGAAAUAUUAGCAAUAAUAAAAUAAGAUAACUCUCAUGAAAUUAAAUCAAAUUAGUUGAAUUUGUUAUAUAUAUAUAAGCAUUGAAGUUUGAAGUGUUUUUUAAUAGUUUUAAAGUUGAAUGUUAUAUUACAUUUUGAGUAAUUUGAGUUAAGUUGGAUGAAUUUAUAAAAAGAGAUAAUUUAUUUUUUCCAUUCACAAGAUUGAGAUUUGAGAUUUGAGACCAUAAAAUCUUUACUAGUUUAACUAACAAAUGUUAUAACUUGUUAGUUAAUUGGGCCUAAACCAUUCUCGAUCAUGACUUCACUGGUUAGUUGAAAGAAUAGUGAUGAAAACCGAGGAGUCAGGUUGAUGAGGGGAUAGUGGGGUGAGUCUACUUCUUUCGUGUGGUAUGAUGUCUGGUGCUGAUCAUGUUGAAGGGUGAGAAUUAAUGAAUUUAUCAAAUACUCACACUCGAUCGUUGAAAAUGUUAUCAAUUGUGUUUGAUAUCUAAGGUGAGUUGGUCAUACGUACGUAGAAUAUUAACCAGUUUUAGAGUAAUACGAUCGACUUCUUCUGUAUACACGUGAACUAUGAUGUUCUUGGACUUAAGUUGUAUAGAUGUUUGACUUCAGUUUACAUCUGAACUUUGACUCUUCUAGAGUUGAACUCCAAGCUAGCUAAGCCUAAUCCGAAACGCAUAUUUUUUAGGGUAGUAACAUAUUUAAGUUUUGGAAUUCUGUUCAAGCCUUUUAUUCUGUUUCACACCCCUUCAUUAUUUUUCCAUUAUUCCUAGUUUCAUCGCUAGUUUCACUCGUUAUGAAAGCUGGAUAAUUCUAUCUUUACGACCCCGGAAUCAAGUUAACGUACGUCUCCGCCAUAUGGUAGGAACUACGAGUUAUAUAAAUUUGAUUUGGUGAUCAAAGGAAAAAAAAAAGAUUAUAGAUUCAAAUCUUUUCUACUAAUAAAAACUAACAUACUAAUAAAUAGCAACUAAUAUUUGCCCAUAAAAAAACUAUCUUGUAUUAUUGUUGGACACCAUAUUGCAUAAUAUUCGUUAUUGGAUACUAUAAGUGUUUUUGUUUACACAUGCAGAGAAAUUCAAAACUCAAAAUGGGUCCACUGGCUCAAGAAGUAUCUCUGCUAAAGAGCUUUUAGCAGAGAAUCACAGUACUAAGGAGUAACUAACGAAAAAGAAAGCCAAUCUUAAAAAAAAAAAAAAAGGUCCAAAGAUGUACUCUUAAUGACUAGACAUCCAUUCAUAUUUGGCUUGGUUAUAAACUGAAAUGAUUCAUUAUUUUUCCGUUACUUUAACAACGAGCUAGAUACGUAAAGGGUUGUUGAAGGGGAAAAAAAAAGAGAAGAUAAACAUAGGAAGGACAAAUUAGAGUAAAUUAAUGGCAUUUUGUAUAUUGAAAAAUCAUUAUACCUUACUUUGCUGCUGAUUCUGUGUUCCGGUAUAUGCGUUUCAAGUGAUAACUCCCUCGAAAAGUGCAUCAUUACCCUUGAGUUGGAGCAUUAUAUAUAUAGACUUACUAGCUGUUUCUAAUUAAGACUCAACAGAAAAAUGAAAUAAUGAUCGAUGCAAGCAAAGGAAACCUUGCACUUGGUGAAAAGCACAUAUUAUUACCAGCAUUUUAACCUGGUACUACAUGGAAUUGUCUCCCAAAAAUUAGACAAGGAAUCCCAGGAUAAGACAAAGGAAGGGCCAAAGGAAUAAACCCAAACCUUUGUCACUAUUUUUUUGAAAUGACUUCCAUUGACUGUAAGAAAGGAAAAGAAAUAGUAAAAAACAUAUAUUUCUGAAAAAGGAAUAUAAUUAAAAGAAGAAAAAAGAAAGUAAUAAUACUUGAUUACUUAGUCAUGUAAUAAGAGGAUGGAGGAGGUGUGACAGCUUAUGGUGGUUCGUGGAGCUGGGUCAUCAUGACUUCAUGUUACCAUGGAUCGCAGUGACUUGAGCUAGCUAGGGAUGUAGUAGUAUAUGGUUUUCGAUUUUUUAAAUUUUAGAAUACGUAGACUCCAAAAUGGAGAAAAUAUUACAUACUCCGUUUAUAUAUAGUUCAAGAUUAUUAUGAUCUGAAUUAAGUUUUACUGUUAUGUAAUCGAAUUUUAUUAAUUUUUUAAAUUAAAAAUUAUAUUUAUAUAUUACGUAAAGAUUAGUCGCAAGAUCAUAAAUACAUAGUAAUUUAAAACCAUCUAAUAAUUUUCUAAAAAAAUGUGUGGUCGUAUGAGUUCCGUCCAUAUUAUAAAAAUUGUUGUAAUCGUGUCGGUCCCUUGAUUAGAAUUUUUUCUUGUUUGAUAAAGUAUCCGUACGUAGAAAUCCAUUCUCUUAUGUUUUCGUUGUCAUUUGCUUCUAAGAAAACUUGAAUGUUUUACUAAAGGGAGGUUGACGUUGUUGGUGGAGGAUAUGACCAGGUCAGAGAAAAAUUUGCAAAACGGGUGGGCCAUGCAGAAGCACGGUACUCGUGCAAUGCAUAAUGGGGGUGGAAAUGGAAUCAAAGGUACUAACUUGAAGAAGAACAUGGCGCGGAACAUGAUGUUGUGGUUGCCAACAUUCAUGAGAGAGCUGGUUGUUGGUUGGAGUGUGAAACUGAAACAUGUAUCCACGAAUCUGAACUAGUGAACUAACUCCAGUUUCCACAAACGAGCCAUCAUCAUCCACGAAUGUGAAAUUGGACUGAAAGCUGGCAAUAAUGAAUAACCUGAGGCUCAAACUACGUACAAAUUAAUUAAACUAUCAAUAUUCGGAAAAAAAAAUAAAGAUAAAAAAUGAUUUUUGUGCUUCAAAUAUACUGGUUUUAAUACUUACAAAGAUUUUAUGUUUUAUUAUAUUAAAUUAAAGUUUAGAUUUUUAUUUUGCUUCAUAUAAUGUUAGUUUGAGUAGAAUUAAGUCUAAAUUUCUUAAGAUAUCGAAUUUAAAUAUUGUAGAUAAAAAAGUAAUUGAAAAAUAGAAUUUGAUUAAAGAUGGUUGGUUAGAAUUCUUGGCAGAGUUAUUUUAUUCAUCGACAAAAGUAAUUAAUAAACAAAGUAUACCUAAAGGGACCAAAACUAGUAAAUAAGCAUAACAAAACGUAGUUGGGAAAUGAUCAUGAAACCUCACUAAAGACGUGAGCAUAUUUUUUCAGCAAGAAUCUGAACUGUUUUUUCUAUGUGGUAAGAUAUUAAUUCAUUUUAUUCGACCACUAGCAUGCAAUUUUGAUUUUUUUAUUUUACUUAAUUCAUAAUUUUGAACCCCUAUAAAAAUAAAAUAGAAAUAUUUGAUAAUUUUUUUUCAAUUUUUUUUUGGUUCAACGUCAUGAGCUUAACCGUUGAUUAGAAAAUGUUGAUCACUAAAUUGUUUACACAACACUAUAAUAUUAAAUUUUUAAUUAGAUUCUUAGGUGAUUUAAAGCGAUUUUAAAUAAUUUAUAGUUUUUAAUUAAAUGAAAAAAAAAUAUAAUUUUAGUUCCUUACUUUCUUGUCAAAUUUUGUUUUAGUUUCUAUAAUUGAUCAAUUUGAUUUUUGUAUUUUAAAAAAUAAUUUUACUUAAUCUCUGUGCAUUGAUGACCAAUGGAUCAAAUAGAGAUUAAAUCUAUUUAUUUUUUUAAAAAUAGAGAUCAAAUUGAUCAAUUUAAACCUACACAAACUAAAACAAAGUUUGACCGAAAAUAUAUAUUAUAGUAUUCAUAAAAAAACCUAAUAUUACAAUAUCAUGUCAGUGAUUAGUGAUUAAUGUUUUAAAAAUUAAUGGUUGAAUAAAAAAAAUUAUCUUGAAAAUAGAGGAACUAAGUAUUUCUAUAUUUUUAUAGGAGACCAAAAUUACUAAUACAUGAAAAUUAUAUUUUGACCUAAUAUUUGAAGAGCUGUGAUAUGAAUCAAUGGCCUAGGAACUUUAUUUUGGCUAUGAUCCAAGCUAAUAAAGGCUUUGAAAAAAAAAUGAGAAUCUCCUAGGAAAAGAACAAAAAGGGGUGGCCAUAUACCCAUGUUGUAUCUAGCUAGGUGGGGAACAUGGAGUGUUUCGGACCAUUUGCAUUGAUCGGGUCUUUUCCUUUUUAAUAAGUGAAAAUGGUAAGCACUGCACAAACUGAUCAAGAUAUGCUUCAUUGCGAUUGUGCCGAGUGUCUUCGGGUAUUACAAAUUUGAUAUUUUCAAAAUCAAACCUAUCAUUCAACUGGAGAAAUUAUUGGUUGACAGUAACCUUAAUAUCAUCCUCUGGUAUUGGUAACCACAGUGCAAUUAGGAAAUUAUUUUAAGUUAGUCUUAUCAUGAAUCUCUAGCAAAACUAUACAACGAAAUUAGAUAGAGCAGCAACUUAGUAUUGCUCACUGUCACAGUCAUGGGCACUACUAACAAUGUAAUUUGUACCACCCACAUAUCAUAUAUUGUGAUCAGUGUUGGUAUUUCCAGGUGUGCCAAUUAAUGAAAUUUAAUUUUAUUCAUGAAGAUGUCUAGAUCAUCAGCAAUCGGCCGGUGCAAGAGUUAAUGUAGAAGGCAGUGUCAAAACUUCAACAAGCACCAUAAUGCGCUAAGGACAUCUCCGGGAGUUAUGGACCAUCACACAAAGUUGUCUAUCUAAUUUGUACCAAUCUUUCUUUUCAGUGUCUUGUUUCCUUUUAUUCUUUGAUUUGAUGAUAAACAUGAAGACGGCAUUUCUUUUUCCCAUCUUCAAUCUUUCAAUGUUUCCUUUUUGUUGUAAUUGAAAAUCUGUAUAUGUAAUUUAAUUUGAUUUGAUUGAAGGGCUAUGCUAUUUAAUCAGAAUACGUAUGUCCGGAUGCAUAUAUAUAGGAUAGGUAAUUAUUAAUAGUGAGUCCUGUCUAUAGGGCUCACUCAGAUGAGACUUACCCCUUUGUUUACCUGAAAUCUAUACAGACAUGUACAUCCUGAAAAGGAUUUUUCUCCCCAUCGAUUACCACUUUAUGUGAUUACUAUUCUCUCAAUAAAUCUUAUGCGUGUGAUUCAAUCUUUAAAUAUUACAGCCACUUUAUAUAAUUCUUUUGUCCAUUUGGAUAUUAUGUUGUUGAGAUAAUUACUAAUUAAUACUUACAUAUGCCACAAUCUAACCUAAUCAUUACUCUUGAGAUAUGAAUUUGGAGUUUGUCUACUUUGAUGUCCUAUGUUAGGUAGUUCAAAAAAAUUAUGGUUUCGUACAUACAGAGGAAUUAAAAGGGGAAAAAGAAGAAGAAGAAACACAUCAUUUAGUUAAUCAGAAGCAAUUGAAGUGUUAAAUUCUUUUCAGUGAAGCUAACCCUUCAGCACUAAGCGAAAUGUAAUAUAUGUAUCACUUUUAUUAAAAGGUAACUGCUUGUAUGUUGGGGGUCAGGCAUGAUUAUAACCAUUUGUCAAUUCAUGCAUGGACAUGUACUCUCAAACCUGACAUUGUUUUGAGCUGAAAAUUUGUAAACAGGGGUCAGAGGUAUCUCUGGUGCUACUUACAUUUCAUACUAAUUCAAGCAAACUUUUAAAAGAGUCUUAAACUAAUUAACAAUUACUUUUUCUUACAAAUUAUGCUGACCAUGAAUUCUAUCUCAACAACAAUAAUUACAAGCAAUUUAUACUGCAUCACUAAGGCACAUACACAGAUCAGGCUCAAAAUAACCCCAUUCAAAAUUACCAAAAAAAAAACUAUACCUGAUCAUUAAAAUAUCAAAUCAUACACUGUGGUUCAUUAUUACUUUUUUAUCCAGUUAAUUUAUUUAUUACUUUAUUCUUAUUAAUUAUGUUGGGGCCUCCAAAUAGAAUAUAUACAUAUAUAUGUUUUAUCAUUUUCCUGUGCCAAACAGCACUCAUAACCAAGUUGAUUAAAUUAUUGUUAUUAAUAAAUUAUAGAUAAAACUUAGAUAUAAUUCUUUACAGAUUUUUGGUUUUAAGAAUUAAAGUUUUAUCUCAACGAUCUAUGUUAGCAUCUAAUGAAAUCUUUAUUAUGUUGAGUAUUAAAAUAAAACUCCAAUUCUUAUUAAAAAAAAACAACAUUAAAAGUACUUAAAGAAUUAUAUCUAAAUUUUAUCCUUUUAAUAAUUAAUGAAGACAAAUCCUAAAAAUCAAGCAGCAUUUGGACUAUAAGCACCAGGUCGCCGACUAAUGAGUAGGGUAUUUCUAGUCGGCUCCCACUGGAUUAGACAAAAUCAAGAAAAGAGGGUCCAACGCAAAACCAUUACCAAAGUGACAAUAAUGCCUAUUGUGAAAAAUGAUGAUUGGUGUGAUUGUAUUAUUGAUGAUUCCAUAUCCUAUAUAAUUACCCAAGCAGCAUCUCUUUUCCCAUCUAGUGAAACAUGUACGUAUAGUGUAAAAACAACGUAAAAGGUAGAAAUACAAAUACGAGAAAGAGAUGGAGGAGGAGAAGAAAAGCACCUUCAAAGGCCCCACAUUCUGUCCUCUCAAAAGACCACAAGACGUGAUUUUCAUCUUUCUCCACUGCACCAACACAUUCUUUCGCCUCAUUCCUUCUCUCACUCACCCUCUUAUUUCUUCCCAAAACUCCAUAUACAUCCAUAUCUCUAUAGCCAUUAAUUCUUCUACCAUAGCACACAGUUACCAAACCAAAACAUGUCUACUCAAAUUCAAAAUGGUUCUUCCUCCUCAUCACAACAACCACUGAGUCGCUAUGAGUCACAAAAGCGGCGAGACUGGAACACCUUUGGACAGUACCUGAGGAAUCAGAGUCCCCCAGUUCCACUCUCUCAGUGCAACUUCAACCAUGUGUUGGAUUUCCUUCGGUACCUCGAUCAAUUUGGGAAAACCAAGGUCCACUUGCACGGUUGCAUCUUCUUUGGCCAGCCCACCCCUCCUGCACCCUGUGCCUGCCCUCUCAGGCAAGCAUGGGGUAGCCUCGAUGCCCUCAUAGGCCGGCUUCGCGCUGCCUAUGAGGAGCAUGGCGGAUCGCCAGAGACUAAUCCCUUUGGAGGAGGAGCCAUUCGGGUGUACCUGCGUGAGGUCAAGGAGUGUCAGGCAAAGGCUAGAGGGAUCCCAUAUAAGAAGAAGAAGAAGAAGAGAAACCCAAUUCUCAAGGGGACUCAAAGAGCUAAAGAUAUCGAGCAACAAGCUUCUUGAGAUGAUAUAUAUCUAUAUAUAUAUAUAUAUAUAUAUGAUAUGAACGGUAAAUUUUUCAUAUUAUAUAUGGUGCACAUAAUUGUUGCUCCAAUUUAUAUAUGUUUAAUUUUUAUUCAUGCAAAGCAUCAACCCUUUGAAUUGCUUGAAUUACAAACUAACUCGCAACUUGUAUAUUAGAAUAAUAUCCAUUAAUAUAUAUAUAUAUAUAGAGAGAGAGAGAGAGAGAAAACAGAUUAUUGAGAAAUUGGAAGCUUUUAUAACUAAAUAGGCUAAAAAAAUCGUCAAUUAAGUGUGUUUGGAGAUGUCAUUUGUAGCUUACAAAACCCUAGAAGCAGAAUAAGAACCCUAAUAUUUCAUUGUCGAUUGGAAAAAGGUUUGGCUGAAGAAUAUUUUACUGGCUAAGGCUAAGAGUAAUGAUGAGACUAGAAAGAAUAGUGUUUCUCUCAUCCCUCCUCUUUCUUUCUCUCUCCUAUCAUUCAAAACACUGUUAUUGCAGUUUCCUAAUUAAAUACUAUCAGGUGUUUUCUUUAUGCUAAAUUUGGGCCUUUUGUGAUUCUGCGAGAUUUCUUGUGCUCCCCAUGGAUGUGUGAGCUUGAUCUAUAUAUCAUACGUUGCAUGUGAUUACAUACACAACCUGACGUUGCUAUAGAGAUCGAUCAUAACAUAUUGGAAGAAUUGGAAGUCUUUCACUUCACAUGUUGUAAUUUUAAAGAAAUACAUAUUUUUAUUAAUAACUAACAAUUGUCCUUCAACUAUUUGUAUAUGUGUAUUUGUGGUCCAUAGAAAGUCUUCUAACAUUAAAUUCAUGGUUUAACGAGAAAAAAACUUAAUUAUUUUUCCACAUGAAGGUCUAUUUAAUCAAUGUUAGUCAUUCUUUUAUUAAUGCUUAUUUUUGUUUAUGCAUGUGAAGAGACAAGGGGCCUUGGACAUACCCUUUUUGUUUGUCUCGUGACUUUCUCUAGCUAAAUUGUUAUAUACUUAUUGUCUCUUAUUAGUGGAAGCUGACUCCACUUUAUCACAGUUAUCUAAUAAUGUCUGUAUUUCUUAUUCUUGUGAUAUAAUAGAGCUAAAAAAAAUGUAAAAAUAAAUAUUUUCUAAAAGAAGAAAAUUAAAGUAGAGAAAGUGAAAUGGUAGAUUUGUUUUAUAUAUUAAAUAAAAGAAAAAACAAAAUUCUAUAGAUAGAUAAAUAGCUAGAUUACUGAUCACUUAAACUUACCUGAGUUGUUGUGGCGGGAAGGAUUUGAUAUUCGAGUCUAGUGUUUAUAUAUGUUUAAGCUUUAGUGCCUGUGUGUACGUGGAUAUACCAACAAAGGCUUCAAUAAUUUGUUGGCCCUACCAGAAAAUACAUAACUGAAAGUGUUUUUCAUAUCAUCAAAUCAACAAUUCUAGCAGCAAAUACAUCAAAUUGGAUCAUGUUGCAGUGAGAUAGAAUAAGCUUCCAACCAAGCAUCAAUACAUACUUGCUUUCAUCCACCAAUCUUCCACCAUAUUCUCUUCUUAAUUUUUCAUUCACUACAAAGGGGUAUUAACAAGUUUUUAGCCAUUCAUAUAUACCAAACUUCUUCAACAUAUUUGUUUUAAGCAUAUCUCUUUUGACUAAUGAAAACACCAUUUUCAUCUUGAUAAACCCCAAUACCAAGAAAGUGUUGUAGCAAGCCAAAAUAAGUUAUCUUAUACUUUUUUGUCAUCUCUAUUUUGAAAUUCUCAAUCAUUUUCAUGCUAUUACAUGUAUACACCAGAUCAUCAAUAUAAAGUGCUAUAAGAAGAAUGUCAUUAUUACCUUGAUACUUGACAUGCAAAGUAGGCUCACUCAUGCUUCUUUGGAAUUUUUUCUUAAUGAAGUACCUGUCAAUUUUACUAUACCAUGCUCUUGGUGCUUUAUUUCAUCUCAUAAAAUUUAUAUUUAUUUAUAGACAUUUUCCUCUUAGCCUUCAAUGACAAAGCCUUGAGGUUGUGCAUAUAGGCUAUAAAUUACUGUUAAUUUGGCUCUAGUUUUUUUGAAAGAAGAACAAGUGGAGGAGGAGAAACAUAUAUACAUAUCCUUUAAAAAUGGUUGCCAUGCUUGUCAAAAAUACAUAUCCUUCAUACACACUAGAUUUUCUCAAAUUGUAAGCUAACCAUACACCAUCUUUUGAGAAAGCAACUUGAGGCUAUUGUGGUUCAAGUGCCCUAGUCUUUUGCAUGUGCCACAAACUAGAGUCAUUUAAUUACUUCUUUUGUCAUCAAGAUGAAUUUUUUCUCAUAAUUAAAGGAGAGAAGAAAACUCCUGCUCUUGCAACUUUUACAAUAGUAACAACUCUUGUUUUUUAAUUUAAAAAAUUGCACUCUUGAUCUUUGUCUUUUUACCAUAAAAACUCAUCCAGUUUAUUCCUACAACUCCCGUUUGUCCCCAUUUUUAGUUUAUUAGGAGACCUAGAAACCAACUCCCACACAUCAUUUCUAACAAAUUGAUUGAGUUACUCUUGCGUAAACUACCAUGCAAAAAUCAUCAAUAGUAGUCUCAUCCAUAAAUUUAGGCUCAAUUUGAGAAACAAAACGCAUAAUGACAAACAUUUCUAAGAGAAGAUCGAAUAGAAACUCUCUUAGAAAUUUCUCCAAUGUUGUUAUCUAAUGGAUUAUUCUUCAUUUUUCUCCAUUCCUUGGGUGUAUGCAUCUUAUUUUUCACAAAUUUUCAUCUUCCUUCAAGAUUUUUCUUCCUUUCAUCAAUGUCUACCUCACAAAUUUAAAAGUUUUCUUCUACAGGUCCAAAACUCUAAAAAUGAAAAAAAAAACAUCAAUAAUAAGAUCCAAAGCUCUACAUUCAUGUUCUAUGAUUCAUGAAUGUGAACCCUAUUUUCAUCUCAAAUUUAAUGUUUGUGUGUGUGUAUUUGUCAAAAAUAGAGACCUCUCUACUUCUGUGUGUCUCUGAACAAGAAGUCUGAAGCCUUUUUUGUAAAUAAAUAAAAAAAAAGACAUCUCGCUACUUCCUGCACACACACGUGUGUGUGUGUGAGCCUUGAAUUUUGGCCUUUUUGGCAUUCUAUAUAUUAUGUCCAUGCUGGUAUUUUUCAUGAUUCAAGAACAUGAAUUCUGACACCACUUUUUUUUUGUGUCAAAAGUAAAGAAUAGUCACAUUUGUCUCAUUACAUUGAAUAUUGUGUUUUGAUUUAAUUUGUAACACACAAAUUUCAGAGUGAAAUUUGUUUUGGAACUUGAAACUUCAGUUACCAUCAUGCAUAGAAAGAAAUUACUCAUGCAUGUUUCGUAUGCAUGAUAUAUCAAAAUGAUUUAUUUUUUUCUUUUUCGAAAGGGUUAAUUUUAUUGCUUUAACAAGUCACUUUGCUGAAUAUUCUUUGCAUGCAGGGCCAUAUACGAGCGAGUUAAUUGGAUAUAGCAGAUUUGGCACUUUGAAAAAAGAGCAUCUCAGCUGCUUGGACCAAAAAUUGUUACAGAAAAUCAGUGAUAUUUCACUAAGUAGUUCAGAACAGAAAAAUCCUUUUAGGCCCAUUUACUCGCAGUAAAUCUUAAAAUGCAUGUUAGAGAUGUACAACCUUGUAACUUCUUCUAACAUAUGAGACCUCUACUCCAAAAUAGAAACAACAAGAAUGGCUGGCUUUACAUUCUUGCAGUAGUUUUUCCUUAUAGUACUUUCAAGCAUUAUCAACUACGCAAAUAUAUCUAGGCAUUAUAUUGAAAGAGUUGGAAUUUACAUUAAUUUGGAUUAAUUAGUACGUUGUAGUAUGAUGUCUUAAUCUUGAUGUGAACUUCUUGGAUUUCAACUUGAUGCAUAUACUGCUGAAAAUAUUCAAUGUAAACUUAAUUAGCAGAGUUGCAAAAGUUGUGCUUUCCUUGAAACAAAUUGUUAAGUGGACGAUGGAGACUUGGGACACUACAAAAAAAAUGUCAUAUACUACCAGAAAAAAAUUGUUAGGUGUUAUGACUGCGUUUUUAUUUGCAUAGCCUUUGUCUAAUAAAAAUUAAAAUGAUAGUAUAUCUAGCUAACAGUGUAAUGUAUCAUUCGUAAAUGACAACACUAAACGAGCUGUAUCAAUGUAUCAAGCCAAAAAAGAUGGUUACAUAAUGCAUAUGAUGUAGUAGUUCUAUGACUACUAAUGAUGAUAUUUUUUUUCCAAAUAAUCCCCUUUUUGUUGGUAAUAUUAUAAUAUAUCUAAGAGAAGUUGGCAUGAGAAGGCAAGAAGCUUUUUGAGGGACAAGGUAUUUCACGAAACUUUUGCAAAGAUCAAAAUCGGUAGUUAGAGAUAACUACUAAUUCCGAAGGAACCUGUACGCAGAUGCAACUUAAUUAAAAAACAAGUGAGCUAUCCAAUUUCCAAACCCAUGCAUCUGCCCUUUCCUUAAAUAGGGAGAUUGAAUUUAAUAGGGACAUAAACUCCUUUAGUGAUUAGUCUUUUUCCUUGACGAAAAGCUCCCUUCUCCACCUCAAUUUACAAACCCGGAGAUCAUUUUAUUUUUCACCAUUCCCCCAUAUCUGCAAGGUACAACAUUUUUAUCUUUUGAAAUUUGAAAUAAUCUAGACAAGGAUUAUUUCAGAGUAAAAUUAGCCAAUUAUCAUGCCAGAACAAUCCAACCUUCUUUACACCCUGUUUUGGAACCAAUUCAGAGUAAUAUUAGGCCCAAACUCAAUGUUGCACUAGUCCUUACACCAAGAAGAUGAACUUUUAUGGUUCCAUAAAUUAAAAGAAUCUGGAGAAUCAAAAUUGCCAUACUUGAACUGGAGAAUUAAUAUUGUCCCACACUGUCUUUUUCAACAAGAAAACCUCCACUUCCAUUUACCAAAGAGGCUAGGCUGAUAUUAAACUUCUGCAGAUCUUAUAUCCCAAGGCCACCACACUCCUUAUGCUAACAGACAACUUUUUCCUAACUUAAUCAUGCUAUCUUUAUCUUAGACUUCUCAUAACAUCCACCCUGUAGAAAAUAUCUUCGAAUGCUAGAGUGUUAAGAAUCCUGUUAGGUACAUUAAUUAAGGUAUAUAAAGAUUCACUUUCUAUUAAAAUGUCAUAAUCGCUUCUUAUCUUUGAGUUAGACACGAAGAACUAAACUUCAACAUAUCAUACAUGAUGGCCAAGACAGGUAGUUUUGCUCUUCGUAUCUUUUCAAGCUAGCUAAUAUAAAAACUGUUUAUCCAAAAAAAAGUUAGUAUAAUAACUAAUUUUAACUUUUGUGCUACAUUAGAGGGGAGAUCAUCAUAUUAAAUGGCUGAGAUAUGUUAGAAUAUAUUUUUAUCGUAAGAAAAAAAAAUUAUAUGAAUUUUGGGAGUAAGCCCAAAUUUAUUUGAUGAGAUCCAUAUGAAAUUUACUUAAUCAAUAAAUAAUAAAGAUUAUGUUAAAAAAUGUGUUAAAAAAUAUCUAAAGAACAUAUAUGGGGUACUUGCUUAAAACAUUAACAAGAUUCUGCAAUCACUAAAAGUUCAUUUCUUUUUUAUGUCUGUUUUUAUAUUUUUUUUCUCCAGUUUCUAUUAGCUAAAGGUAAAAUAAAAAAAAAAAAUGACCGGGAUCCAAAUUUGAAAUUUUAUUUAUAUAGGAGUUCAAAAGUGUAGAGUGUCCAGUUGACAAUUCCGCCAUUAAAAUGAUUAGUUUAUUUAUAGAAAAAGAAAAAAAAUUCUAAACACAAUGUUAAUAGCAUUUGUCUAUGAGAAACGAAUAAAACUUGAAUUUGUAUCAAGGAUUAAAAGAAAGAUUUACUCAACAAAUUAUUAACUUGAUUGAUAUAGAAGACACGUGAGAAUGCAAAAUCCACCCUAUCUUUCGGGGUUCAAUUAUUUGUAUUUGUCGUUCAUAUCAGAAUACUAACCGCAUUUCAAUAGAUUCAAGAAUUCACAAUAAUAUCCCAAGAAAAAUCUUCAUUAUAUAUAAAUUGCAGAUACUUCGAAAAUCUGCAUAAAGAUAAUCUGUCAUCACUCCGUAAUCCCUAUCCUAUCCCUCUAAUUAGAUCUUUUGACAUAUAAAUUAAAAAUUUUAGGCAGGUUAUCAUCUGAAUUGGACGUCCCACCUUUUAAUCAAGUCAAUCCCAAGUAAAACUCGGAACAUUGGUUUUUUUUUUAAAGGUUAAUAUUAGUUGUUAAUUUGUUGAUUUUCACUAGUGAGAGAGAUUUGAAUCCACCAUUUUUUUUUAUCUUUUAACCAUCAAAUCAAAUUAGCUUUAUAACUCCAAACUUUGAAACUUGUGUCUUCCAAUUCAUUUUUCAUAUCAAAUUGUUCACUUGCUCUAUGUUGAUUAUAUUUUGUUCCAGCACCGACACCUCAUGCCAAUUCCAUAAGCUUCAAUAUUACUAACAAGAACUCGGGACUACUUUAUCAAAAGAAUUAGUUGUUUGAGAGCUCAAGAUUUUAUAAACUUGAAACUUCUCAUCAGCGAGAUAUAUCUAAUACAGUACUUAGGGGACUGUUUCAAAGGAAAGGAGACGAAGAGAGGAGAUAGAUUUUAAUUAGAUAUUUUGUUUGGUUGAAAAGAGAAUAGAGGAGGGAUUUUAAUGAAAAAAAGAAGAAAAUAAUAUGUGAUUUCAGUUUAGUUUAAAUACAUUAUUAAAUCUAAAUCAAAUCUAUUUUUACAGUUGGGUUCGGAUUAAUUUUGUAAUUUUUUUAAAUAUUAAUUUAUUUUUAUAUAAUUUAAAAAAUAAUUUUAAUCUAACAAUUAACAAAAAAAAAUUGACAUGAUGUAAAUUUUAAUAACUAAUUGAUAAUAACUAUAUUAUGAAUCUCUUAUGAAAAGAAGUAUAUUACAAAUUAUUCAUACACAAUUAGUUAUAUGUUGUCAAAAUGUCCUUAUAGUAUAGGGUUAUGAGACUUUAAAGUUUAAAUAGGAGCAUAAGAGAAAAAUUAACAUAAUCAACAUGAAGUUUGAUUUGGUUUAGUUUUUACGAAUGCAAAUUGAAAAGCGAAUUAAACUGUGAUAAAAAAAAGCAAUUUUUUUUAAUUUUCAGUUUGGUCGAUUUUGAUUUUUUUUGUUUUAUAAUAAUUUAAAAUGAUUUAAUUUGAUUUUGAAUACCUCUAAUAAGAGGAGGUAUUUUAGUGAUUAUAUUUCAAUAAUAAGUCAUUGAAAUUAUAUUAAUUAACUAAUAAUGUUCUACAAAGUUGAUAGGUACGUAGCUAAGAUUUUUAAACAUAUAGGAGUUUGAUUCUUAACUAUGUGAUAUGUGAGUGAAGAAUAUUUUGUUUAAAAAGAUAAAAUUCAUUUAGAUAAUUUCUAUAUGUUAAGAUAAAUUAAUAUUUAAAAAUCCAUUUAAAAAUAUUAUAUAUAUAUAUAUAUAUAUAUAUAUAUAUAUAUAUAUAUAUAUAUAUGACGUAUCAUAUGUGAGAAUAGGAAUAAUUAAUUUUAACUAUUAUAUUAAAAUGAAAAAUCAAAAUUAAAAUAUUUUAAAUUCAAAUUACAAUUUUAUUUAUCCAUAAAAUCUCUAAAAUAUUCAUCAAACAAAAAAUUAAAUAUCUUAAAAAUUUAAUUUAUGUUAUUUUAAAAUAUUUUAAAUUUAUCACCAACAUGACCAUCAUCAUCAUUAUAAUCAUUUUCGUUACAAUUGUCAUGAUGAUCACCAUAAUUAUCAUUAUUGCAAUCAUUAUUGUGAUUGUUGUGUCAUCCUAUAUUAAAUCUUUUUACGGGACAUUUAGGUAAUGAAAUUAGGAAUGUAGUUAGUUAUCUUAAUGUUGAUGGGAUCAUGGCUGCUAAAUUUUUAUAUUUUCUUCAUUUUCGUAUAUGUUUUUUUGUGUGUGUGUGUUCUUAAGAGACAAUAAAUUUUGAUUUUAGUUUGUGUUUAGUUCAUAUAUACCACCAUUAAAUUUAGUACAACUGUUAAACCUGACCAUAUACAUAUUGUAAAGCAAAUUUAAGUAUAACUUAAUUAGUUUGAGUUACGAAGAAACAAAACUCCAUGGUAUGAUCCAUCGCCUUAGUUGGUGGAAGUAUUUAUUUAAAAAAUAUAUAUUUAUAGAUUAUUAGUGGCAUGAUACUGGAAAUUGUUAUAUGAACAUGUUUUAUUUCAUUCAUUACUCACAAGAUAUGUGACAAGAUUAGAAAUUAGUCUUUAUCUUGAUUAUGAUAUAAGAAGACCUAUAGUCUGAGUUUUUAAAGCACACACUAUCCGCUUGCCUUUCUCACCUUAUAGCUUUAAAUUAAAGUAUGACAUAUUAUUUCUUGAAGGGGCAGUUGGUUGUGUAUCAAUGAGGUGGCUUUGCUUUUUGAUCCAAGUGGUUGGUGGUGUAGCUAAUUCCUUUGAGAAUGAGGGAGAAAAUAAGUAGGGUAGAAAGAAGAAGGACUAUAGGAGAAAGGAUAAAAUGAGUAAGAAAUUGGUAGAAUUUUAAGGGUUUUGUAGAUUGAAAUAAUUAAAAGAGAAGUAAAAUAGAAAGAAAAAAAGUUUAGUUUUCUCUUUACAUGUUUUGUUGGAUAAAAAAUUGAAGACAAAGAAAAUGAAGUUUUCUUGUAAAAAUACAUUUUAUUAAUAAUAUAUGUAAAUUUUGAGGAAGCUAGUGGUAGAGAAUAAUCAACAACAUUAAAAUUAUAAUUUUGAGUGGGUUUCACAUACAAUUCGUUAUCUUCUUGCAAAAGGAGAUUUAAUUUUUUUUUUUGGUCUUAUGCUUUGUUUUUUCUUUUCUCUAUUUCUCUCCCUAAUAAAACAACAAAAAUAUUCUUUGAGUUUGAAGGAUGGUAAUAACACAUUGUUUCUAAUUAUUAGAAUUUAUUAAAAAAUACUCAUUAAUUAAAUAACAAGUGAUAAAACUAAAAAAAUAUAUUUUUACACUAAAUUCCAACUAAUCAUAGAUACAAAGUGUGAUUAAAAGAAUAUAUAAAUAUAUUAAAGAGUAGUAUAUUGUUAGCUUUUUUCAUACAUUUUUUUUUCUCUUCUAAAAUUUUAUGUAACCAACGGAGUCACAGCAUUGUCGUGAUUUAUUUGUUCUCAUGUCAAUUUAUUUCUAUAUAAGAAAAAGCACGAUAACUGAUAACUGCCAGAUAGAUAAAUACUCUAGCAUAAAAUUUUAGUAAUAAAUUUUCUGGUUAGGAGAACAUGAAAAUGCUUACUUUCACCAGAACCACACUGACGACACUGACAUAUCAUGAGAUGAACAGAAAAAAUUCUUUUAGUCGAUCAAAGAUUUAAUUGUCGACUUCAAAAAAAACAAAAAUUUAAUUGUCGCACAACGUUUUCCAGUGGUAUAUAAUAACAAUAAUUUAGAAAAGUUUAUAUUAUUAAUCUACAUUUUAACUUACUACUCUGGAAAAAAACACUCAGCAAAAAAAAAAAAACUUACUACUCUGCAUAACUUUUGUAAACUAGAUAUCUACUGGCACCUGAAUUGGGCCAUAUUACAUUGCAAUUCAUUUAUACACUAACUACUUUGUCUACAUUUUAUUGGCCACUGAUGGUGGAACAUUCAAGUAAAAAAAAAGCCCAUAAAUGCUCUUGGAAAAAAAAAAGGAAAAUCAAAAUUAAGAAUCAGAACCAGAAAUAAACUAGAAUAGAGUCUUUGCUCAAGGCCCAUGCCAUCCAGCCAAUCCCAGACGUCAAGCUCUCCUGUGUUAAUAACCUUUGCAGAUGCCAUUGCCACUAACCAAACCAGUUUCCCAUUCAUAACCAUACCCAAAAGAAUAAAAUGCUUAAACUAAAGCCAUAUCCCGCUCAUUUAUGCAAACUUAGCAUAACAGUGCAUUAUUAGAAUAUUAUUGGAAAGCAAUGUGGGGACUUUCAAUUCUUUUUACCACAAAUUUAUCUCUUUGGCCUUUUCUUCAUCUAACCUCACCUUUCCCUUUACUUCUUUAAUUUUUUUUCUUCUCUCACUUGUUUGCAGUGGGGUGAAGUACAACAUGGCUUUGCACUGCAUAGAUUAGACACUCAUGAAUGAAUUUGUCCUCCUCCAUUUGGGGGUCCAAAAGAAUUUUUUCUUUUUUCCCACUUCAGAAAAAAAGGGUAAAAUUAUCAACUUCAAUUAAUUCUAUUAUGAAUUUAUGAUCAGCUCAGUGCUGUAUAGAAAGUGCUGUGUCAUUUUCCUAAGUGAAUCAAUAGAAAUAAUGGUAAAUAAAAAAACUCAAUUGCUAGCAAAAGCAUAAUAUCUAUCAUGUCGCAAUCACCUUCCGUUUUCAUCCAAUACAAAAUAAGGCAUGACAGUGCAACACUGUAGAAGUAGGAUCGUUCUAUCUGCAUCUCAAUCAUAGUUUAUCUUUGUAGCGUGUACUAUUCUAAAUUCCGAGCUUCAACAAUUUAAAGCAAAAAAAAUUGAAACCCAUUACAGAAUUCUUCUCUUGUUUCACCUCUUCUAGAAAAUUACAAAAUAUAACACCGUCUGAUCAAUUUCAUGCCCCACCAACUGUAAGUCUGUAACACGACCAUAAAAACUCAAAAUUCUGCUAUCAAAACCAAGGUUUUAAAUUGUCGUCACAUUAAAACUCUGAUCUUUGAUAUUACAAAAAAUUAAAUGUAGUCGAUACAGAAAAUUAUACAACCACAGAAAUCUAAAAAAAAUUAUUGACAAAUGUUAAUUGUUAGUUUUUCUUUUUUCUUAACCACUCAAUCAACCUUAUAUCUCCUGAAACCUCAAAAACCUUGAAGUUGUGUCACUGACCAUUUAAUAAAACCUUGAUGAAAACAUACCCUAUGGUGGUCUAAUAUAACUUAAACUCUCCAACUGGUUAAUUACAAACCUCAUAUUAUAUGGACAACCCUAUGUACACAGCAACCUUUGCAGAAGAAGCAGAGUAAAACAUUGAAAAAAAAGGAAAUAUUAUUUAUUUUCUCUCUACAUAUUUUGAAAAAAUGGAGUUGGAAGCCUAUAAUAUGAGGAUUAUAAUAUAAACUAUAUGGACAUGACAUGACCCUUAGGCAAAGGCUGUGAUUUGUGAAUAAAAAAGAAAGAAGAAGAAUUGUUACGGAUCAGAAGGUGACUCAUAAAUGCUCUCCAAGUGAGGCCUCCACACAGCAACACGCCCUCUUCUUCUGUCUCUUUGACUUGACACCUUCUCUGAGAGUAUAUCAUUCAAGUAGCGAUCAGAGACAAGCAAGCUAGUCAUAGACGUAAUCAUGGACGCGUUGUUGGUGUUGUUCAUAGUUCUCUCUCUAUGUUCCUUCCUCUUCUUCUUUCUCUGCCGGUUCUUCUUCUCUUGUGUAGGAGGAGUAGGAGGGAGUGGCAUGAGGAAGUAAAUCUUGCCACGUUGGAGCUCAGCGUCGGGUGGCACCACCACGAUCUUGUGGACCCCGCCGCUGAUGCCGGCGGCAUCGGCGGGGGAAGAGCAUGGCUUCUUGAGGACAUGUUUGGGGUGUGCCUUCAUGACAUCACUGGCCUUGACGGUGCCGCUGAUUUCUUCUACUCUGCCAUUGGAGUGCACUAUGCGGAUCACGUCGAGAGCCCCACAUGGGAAGAUGCAAGAGAUGCAGCACCUUAUGCAAUUUCUCAUGGCUUUUUCUCCCUUCCCUUUUUUAGCAUUGGUGUCUGUCUUGAGGAGAGAGUAAAUAAUAUACUGUGGGGGAGGAAACGGAUUUGGCUCUUUCUUUUCAGACUUGAGAUUUAUUAUCUUUGCUCCUUUCUCUGUUUUUUGCUAAUCUUUAAUUAGAGAGGGGGCAAAUUCGAUCGUAUAAAUUAAUUGUGCAUCAAUAUGAUCCAUCUUUUAAAGGGAAAAAUAUUUGGUUGUUAAUUAACUUCUGGAAUCAUGAUAUUUUUUUACUACUACAUGAAUCUAUAAAUUAAAAAAUAUGUAUACAUAUUUAUGUAUAUACAUAUCUGGGUGCUUUAUAAAAAAUUCAUUGUAUUGAGUCUUGUACCUGACCAUGAUCAAGUUAGUUCUUACUUACCAUUCCAAAUAUACUUAUAAAAAUAUCCAUAAAUUAUACUCAUCAAUGACAUCUCAUAUUCACUAUAGAAUUCAAACUCAUGAACACAUGAGAUAUGAAUUGUAUUUGUAUCUUUAUAUACUAUUAAAAGAGAAUAUUUAUGAUUAAAUUAAGAUAUUUUAAAUAAAAAUUAAUAGAAAAUACUAAGUGUGCAGAUUAUGUUUUAGAUAGAAUAUGGUUAAGAAAACUCACAGAAAUAAAAAUAUUCUAAUCUGAUAAAUAAGAAUUAUAUAUAUACUAUAAAAGAUUUCCCCCUAUUUUUCAAAUUUGUUAAUUUUUGGUUUGCUGCUUUUGAAUAGGUGGGAGGAAUAUUUUCGGUGCUAGGUUAGGAGGAGAUUCAUGGUGUGAAUAAUUGCAUAACACCCUGUAGUUUGGCUUUUGAUACAUAAUUUAGGGACCCUACCCCACCCUCAUCCCUCGAGCUAACAGUCUCUUCCCUUUAUUGAGUUCAAUAAUAUUAGGUUGGGAGGACUGAAAGAUUGGGAUACUAAUGGUAUAUUGAACGAUGGGACUUCUCAGCAAUCAAAAACUUAGGACCCAUUUUGAAUGCGUCAUGUAAAGACAUACGUGUCUCGAUAAAAAGUUGACACUUGUAGACCCCUGAAUGAAUACUAUUGAUUAUUAUUUAUUUAUUUAACGCUUAAGUUUGGUUGAGAAAGGGUGGUAAAGUAGGGUCAGUCAAUGAGAGAAAGAGAAUGUGUUUUGUUUGGAGUGAAAUUUGGGGUAUGAGCGCUGGGAAAUGGGGUACAGCGUAGAGGAUGGAGGAGAUAGAUCUUCUUUUAAGAGGAGAGUUUGUGAUCGUUCAAUAUCCCCAAGCAAGACCAUGUGGAUUGUGGUUUUCAUUGGAAAGUGAAGUGUAAUAUGGCUUUUAUGUUUGUGAAGUGCUUUGACUAUGGCCAAUGUGUUAAUUUGUCUGCUAGCCACAUCUUCAAGAGCAACCCUUCCAAAAUGCUUUUAUCCGUUUCCUUUUCUUUCUUUUCAUACAUGGAAUUUCACCACUUUUGCCAUCUAUCAUACAUUAUACAUUGAAUUAAAGUCAAGUACACCUACUCUUCUAUUCUGUCCGUUAGUACCAUUACCAUAUUGAUAUUGAUGAGGUAAUGAUGGUAAGGCAUAAACAUUAUCUGUACAGUAGUGCAAAACUCUCUUUGGGGCCAAAGCUUCACAAUCACUAAUAAUCACUUUCUUAGAAAGAUAAUGAGAUAAUGAUUAUUAGGUAUUGUCUACACAGAUUGUCACUCUAUAUAUAAUGACUUAUAUGGGAUUCAUGCAAAAUUUAAUGACACGGUUCAAAUCAAAAUUAUGACAGUACCACCUAUCUACCUCAGAAAGAUACCUAAUAUCUCUACUAGUAGACUACUGUACGACAAGAGAUGUUACUCUCAUUUCCUAAUUGUUCAAAGUUUAUAAAUUAUAAGCGUUAAGAUUUCAACUUCAAAUAUCAUAGUUCUCUUUUAAAGAUACUCAACUAACUGAAACUGAAACUGAAUGAGACAGGCACACUCACCAACACGUUAUUUUUGUCAUGAAUGUCGCCAAAUUGGCAUUGGAUGGUGUAGUUUUAUUCCUUGUUAUGUAAAGAGUGGUAGCUCAAACUUCAAAGAGGCUUUUAAGUAAAAAAACAAAAAAACAAAAAUUCAAAAGUAAGAUAAUGACAUCCAAGAAAGUGAUUUGUUCUAAUCUAUUAGGGGAAGCUAGGAAUUAGUGUAGGGGUGAUUGAUGAUAUGAUUUAGUAUAUGUCUUGUUGCGUUAUGGAACUUUUUAUUUGAUAGCAAUUAGCCAAGCCUUGUGAGAAUUUGCCAAAAGAAGAGAUGCAGUUAAAAGUAUUUAAAUGCCCGUUAAUUUGAGUUAUAUCACAUUCAUAAUGUGGCCCGCUCUUUAAAUAGCUAGGUGCAGAUGCAGAUGUUAGUGGGCAUCAUGUGAGGCACUGAGAGGGAGGGUCCAAAGCUGGGCUUUGAUAUUCUAUUUGCUCUGUAUCAUCCAAAUUUAGAUGCCAAGUUAACUUUGUUUUAUUAUGCGGAUAAGACUGACUUAAGAGAUUAACAUAUUCCCUCGUGAGUUGAGACGAGUUCUAUUCCCCACGCAGCACUCGCAUUCUUCUUCUUUUUUCUUUUCUUUUUUUUCCUUUUUUGUUGAAAAAAUAUAAGUUAUGUUUGUACAAUGUAGGAACCCACCACAUCCUUAUUGGAGAUCCUGAGUGACAGUUGAAGGGAGUAGUUACCGAGUUGGUGAGCUUCCUCAUCUUAUUUACAAGAUAAGUAUUCUAACACAAUAUAAUAUACAUCUCAAUCUAAACUAACUGGAGUGUUAAAGUUUUAUUGUAGGUAUUAUUAAUAUCACCAUUCACCACAUGUCCAAGUCUUAGUUAUGUUCUGUAAUCAUUGUAGGGAUGGACAUAGUAUAUCUUGGAAGACUUGCAUCACGUAGAUAAGUUAAUCUCUCCAUUAACAAAAUAGUCUCUGGAAGGGUAGUCUUUCAUUCAAUUAAGUUGAUCCGUCCAUUAAGUCUUUUUACAAUAACUUUAACAUCAUGCGUGACACAUUUGUAUCGUCUAUGUAUACAAAAGACUAUUUUAAAGAGUUUGAGGUUAAAUAUCAAAAGUUAUAAAUUCUUUAAUUUAGUCACUAAACUUAUUGUCAAUUUCACAUCUACUGUCAUACGAAAUUAAAAAACUAUUCCUUGGAAUUCACAAUUAAUAUUCACUGUGUAAUAACGCUGCUAUAAUUUGGUUCAUACUAGUCUACAUAAUCCUAAUGAUUGAAUUGCAGAAAUUUGUUAAAACAAGAAAACAAACUAACAAAGAAUCCAGAGCUGUUAUAAAUUGCUAACCUAUGUCAAAAGGAGUCUCCUCCAUUAUGUCAAUGUGACAGGAUAACAAAAAAGCAGUACACAUUUACAUAAAGCAUCUUUUGUCCAAAAAAAUUGCAGUAUUGCUCUCUGUUUGCAAUGAUUUUACAAAUAAGCUGAAGAGAUAAAGGAAAAGGGAAGACGUAAAUAAAUUAUCCGUUUUUUAUUAGUUAUGUUUUUCUUUUGGACUUUUCUGUGAACCCAAUCCUAGGAUUUUCUUUUCGGGACCAAUUUUCGUGUUUGUUGUUAAUGGGCUAGAUUUUAAUUUAUCCUAUUGAUUAGGUUUGGGCUUAUGAGAUUCCGUUUCAGCUUGGAGUUUUUCUAAAAUGGGCCGUGUGUUUCUUUUAAAUGAAUUUUAUUCUGCAGGUAAUUUGUUUCCUAAAAUUAAUUUUAAACGUAUGAAUGAUAAAAAUAAAAUAAAAAUAAUAAAAUAUGAGAAUAAAUAGAAAAAUGUUAAAAAUAAAAAAAUAGAAAAUAAAAUAAAAGUGCAAAUAAGAAUAAAAAAUAUGAAUUUUCGAGUUUGAAAUAAAAGAGAAAAAAUACUCAUUUUGUAUCGUUUUAUUAUAAACAAAAGUAAGAAGAAAGAAAAUGUAAUUACAAUAAAUAAUAUUUACAUCAUUUUAAUAUAAUGAUGGUAGGUAAUUAAAUGAGUAAAUUUUUUAUUCUAAUGAAAUUUUCUUUCUGCUUCAUUUUCUGUCUCACAAAAUAGUUUUUUUUUAGUUUCACUUUUUUUAUUUCCCCCUCGUCUCCUUUCCCGAAUCUAGUGAUGGAUAUUGUCAUUUUCCUUCUUUCCAUUUAUUUUAUUUCCAUUCAUUUUAAUGUCAACCAACCCUCAUAGUGUAUUUUUUUUUUAUUUGUUUACGUCAAUGUAAACAGAAAAUAUAACCUAAAAGAAAGUGGACUAGUUCAAUUAAUCUUGCUUGCACAAUGGAAAGAGUCACUGUUUAUCUCUCAUCAUUUUAUGUUAUUAUUUUCUACUGUUGGCAUAAGCAGUGCACAAAUAAAUACAUGCAACAAAAACAUUCUAUGAAAAAAGAUAAUCUUUCUAACAUCAUCGUUCUUUUAAAGAAUGUUAUAUAUAUAUAUAUAUAUCUUGAUUUGUUUGGAUAGAUUGUUACUUAUGUAAGAAAGAAGUAUUGUUUCUUACAUACAAGAUAAUGUGAUAUGUUUCUACAUUUUCUUAGUAUCAAAUUGUUAACAUAUUUUUAUUUGACUUGGUUAUAUAGAAAUUAGAAUACUCAAUGAACUAUGUUUUUUGAAUUAAAAUACGCCGGCCGGAGAAUGAUGAAGCAUGCAUGUUGAAGAAAAAGGCAUGAAGCAAAGAAAAAACCAUCUGCUAAUAUUUUAAAUCACAUGCAAGAGAGGAGGCAUGGUUCCAUUUUCUACCUUCACAUUAUUUGAGAAAAACGAACUUGUUCUGUGUUUUAUUUUUGCCCUUCACAUUAGUACAACGUGGAAGACUCAUGGUUACACAGAAUCAUACAUAAGUACAAUGCUUGUCCCUAAGAAAACAAGCACUCGUUGUAUUGAACCUUUACGGCUCAAAGAGGAGAGUGAUCAACUCUUCGAUGACCUUUAACGCGAGCAGACACCAGUGUUUCUGAUUCCUCUUUGGUUGGGUAUGAAGCGAAAUAAUUCAUCCCACACACUCCUAAUAAAUUACCCGUGUUUCUUUGGAUCCAAAUGUAACCAUCUUCUCCCCAAUCUUCUCCCCAUGAAUUUUUCGCUAUCCAGUAAUCUACACCAUCCGCUGAACCAUAACCCACAAGUAAAACAAAGUGAUUAAUCCCAUACGGACUUGUACAGUUUUCUCCAUCAUAAAUUCCCUGCACAAAUUAAUUAAUGAAUUAACAACAAUAACAAUAAUACUAUAGAGUAUACUGUACAGUAAUAAUGAAUUGAUGAGGUUAAUUUGAUGAUCCGAAAAAGAAAGAAAUCAUGAUUUCGAAUCUUUUCCCACCAAAAUUGACCGAUAAAAAAAUAGUAUAAUAAUAAUAAUAAUAAUUCCCAAAUAGUAAGAUAUUACUUUACCCCGGUGUAUAAAUGAAAAUCUUUUGCAUCAAUGGAGACACUAAUUGGUUGCUCAAGGAUGGCGCUUAAGAACGCUUGCUCUGUCUCUGAUUCUGUACUCUCAUCUGACAUUAUUAGAGUUUCAUAUCCGUCAAUUGUAACCUUGUCUUGUAUCUACUCCCAGAAAAAAAAAAAAAAGUUGCACAAAAUUAAACAAAGAGAUGAAGGGUUAAAUUAAUUAAAAGGAAUCGCAUGCAUGCAUAUUAUUCAGUUAUAUAUUCACAGACCUUAUUGGCUUUGCAUCUACCCUCUUUAGCUCUGUAAGGAUAAUCAUCAUCAGUGGCAAUCCCACCAUGUUCUAAAACCCAUUCGAACGAUUGAUAGUGCCAUCCAUUGUAACAACCUUCGCUUUCUUCCACACAGUCUACGAGUUCUUGUUCAGAAAGGCUAACAAGGUCUCCUGUUGCUAUUGCAUGUGCUGCUUCUAUGGCUCCCGUGGCAGAAAACGCCCAACCGCUUCCUAUAUAUCAAAAUGAUUUCACAUACCACAAGACAAAGAAAAAAAGUUAGUGUUAAUAAUUAUUUUCCCAUUCCAAAAUAAGUGUCACACUAAAAAAAAUUGUAGCAAAAUAAAUAUCACAUUUAACUUUUCAACGUAAAAUUAAUUAUUUUUUUCACCAAUAACUCUAAUAAAUAUAUUUUUAGUUUUUAAAUCUAGUAUUAAUGGUAAUCUCUUUCACUAAUAAGGUUAGUUUGGUAAAAAUAUUAUUUUAUUUUAUUUUAUUUUUAAUUUAUAUAAAACAAUUUAAGACAACUGUUUAUUUUAAGAUAGAAGGAGUGGUAAUUACGUAGUAAAAACAAUUAAUGGUUUCACAUACCACAGCCCCCUUGGUACUUUACUUGGGUGAUGACACCUUUUUUCCUCCAAUCCCAUGAUGCAGGUGGAUGGUCACAAGAAUAUUGUUCCUUCUUCAUUUUCUUGUUGGCCAUUUUGAUUUGCUGCGACACAUCCUUGGGAGCUUGCAAGUACUUUUUGCUGAACUCUUGAGGAGUGAUGUCAGCAAACUUGUUCAAUCCUAAACGAUGAGAAUGGGGUGAUUUUCUGUUUGCAUUCAUGUCCCUGAUAUAGUUCAAGUUAUUCUUGAAAAUCUCAAGUCUCUUUGCCUCUUCUUCGUGGUUAUGGUAGACACGUCCAUGCUCACUCUUCCAUAGUUGGAACAGUGAAGACACCUGUUUCUGUGUGGUAAACUUGGUUAGGUCAAGGUCCAAUAUGGAACGAUGAGUUGAUAUGCUGGAACUAGAAGAGAGACCUAAGAGGGAGAAAAGAAGCAACACAAGGAAACCCAUAACUUGGUGGAAGAAUUUUAUGAUUUGAAAUUAAGAUAUGGUCACUUCACUUGUAGCAUGUCGUAUAUAUAGUGAUUAGUGAGCUAGCUAGUAAUGACUGAAGAAGUUCCCUCGUAGCUAUAUAUUUGGUUUAAAUUAAUUUCUGAUACGUAAUUGAAUUGUGAUUUGGCUUAAAAACCAACAGGGAAUGACAGUUUGCCAACUUUUUUAUUAUUAAACUAGAACUUCUGUAUUGUUUUGAUAUGAAUUUUCAUUAUCCAGCAGGGGCAGUGAAAAAGCCGGUCUAUCUAGCCAAUAUUCUUUAAUUUGAUUAUUUUGGAUUAUAAAAUUGGAUAUAAUUCUCUUUAUUUAAAAUUUAUCUCUUUCUGUAAGUUUUGUGCUAACACAAAAUGAAUUUUCAUUAUAUAUAAAAUAGUAAACUUGUAUAUAUCCAUUUAAAAAAAAAUUCAAUUGAUGUUAAACGUGUAUAUUCUAUCUGAUUUCGACUUUCAUUACUGCUUGAAUCACGAUGUUUAUUUAUUUAGUUGUAAUUAAUUUGAUGUGAAUGUGAAGUAGGACAUUUUUCAAAUUUUUGCCUCACUGUUACCAUUCUUGUUUCGGUUUGGUAAAAUGUGAAAUUGCAGCUUAUAUACAGCACACAGUUGAUUUAAAGCGUAUUUUUAUCAGCUUAUUUCAAAGUUAAAAGAAGUUUUAGAGCUUUUGAUGUUUUCUUUUCUCAAAAUAAUCUAUAUGCAUUAAUUUAUACGUCCGAUGGCAAUGUGUGUUUGAAGUUUAGGUAAUAGGACGCAUUUUAUUGCAUUGGGUACUCAGGUUUAGAUCAUGAUUCUUCCUUCAUUUGAUUCAUAUGCAAUAGUUAGACUCAUUUAGGUUAUUUAGCAGGGCCAUAAAACCAAUAGCAUAAUACUGCAAUAAUUAAUAAUGCAUAUAUAAUAAUGUAUAUUUUUUUAUAUAAAAGUGGAGCAUAUAAAAUGAAAGGAAUAGAUUAGUAUCCUUAAUUUACUUGCAAGUGAUUGCAUGCACUUUUGUCUGAUUCACACAUGUAAAAUCGAAAAAUCAUUCAAUAUUGGCUUUGUACUCAAAUGGUCCAAACUCGACACUGCAUUCAAGAUGAUGUGCGAUAUGAUUCUGGCCUUUUGUUUACAGAAAAAAGUCGGCACUGUUAAAAUUAUUAUUCUAUAAUCGAUUGAAGUUUUGUCCAUUGUUUAAUCUGCGUACACGUCUUGGGGAAUGAUGAAUCGUUGAUAAGCAGCGAGCCUCAUAAGCUAGACUGCUAGAGGCACAUCACCUUCAUCAGAGUAACGUGUUGUUUGCACCUGCAUGUGCUAUUUGUUAUUUUAGUUGGAGUUUUAGCAAUAAGGCAAUGGAACCUGAAACAACUCAAAAUGUAAUUUGAGAGCUUUUUUUAGUUAUCUUUUAAAGUAUAUCAACAUUUUCAUUUUCAGAAAAAAAAUCACUCUAAUUAAACAUAUUUUGAAAGAUAAAGAAAUUGUGAGUUUAAACUCUACCACUAAUAAAAACUAACAAUUAAAAAAAAUCAAAUUAGUCAUUGAUGAACUAAAUAAACCAAGUUAGUUCUGAAAAAGUUAAACCAUUAUAUUAAUUAAUUCAUAUAUAUAUAUAUAUAUAUAUAUAUAUAUAUAUAUAUAUAUAUAUAUAUAUAUAUAUAUAUAUAUAUAUAUUAACUAGUUUCCCUGACAAAUACGUUACACCUUUAAUUUAUUCCUUACAUUUGCAAUAAGAACUUGAUCAAUAUAUUAUUAGUUUGAAUGAAACUAAAUUUAGUCUCUUAAUUAAAUAAGAUAUUAGGUUUGAGUUUUUUAAAUGAAUAUACACGAUUGAUAAAAAAAAAUUCAUUAAACAAUUUAAGUUUCUGAACAAAAAAUAAUCAUAAGGAAAAUUAUUGGAUAGCACAUUGAUAUUAUGAUGACUUUAAAAAAAAACUUGACCUCCUUUAAUGCAAUCUUCUCAAGGAGAAAACCCAUUACCAAAGUCAUGGUUGGAGACUUAAAAGAUUGAGUCAGAGAUGCAGGAGAAGACCUUAGGAUUCUCAUGAGCCUUAAGGUAGAUUUUCGAUCAAUAGACCAAGUAUGAAUCCACUUAUUUUUGUACAUAUAUUAUAUUAGGAUUUCAUUAUUUUUGAGUCUUGUAUUUAGGACUCCAUAGUGUAAGGAGGGUACUCUGAUAAUAUAGGAUUUUUCAGUCUUUGUAUUUUAGGACACCUAGACUAGUUUUUGUAUUUGAGAUAGUUUUGUAAUUUCACGUGCAUUCAGUGCACUAUUUGAUGUGUGUGUUAAAAAAGAAAUUUAAUUGAAUUGGGAGAAGCUCAAUCCAAUUAAAUUUUGGACCAGCCUAAAGGGAAGGUGAGCAUUUGCUUGUUACACCUCAUUGUCACAUCAUAUGGUCAUACUUUGUACAUGUCCUUUAUAUUUUACAUGCCUCAUGACACCUAAGCACACUUAGUGAAGAACUUUGGACUUGAUAUUGGAUUAGCAGACUAAACCAUAGUUGAAAUUCACUGAUUAUAAUUAAUGAAAUUUUGACUCAAAAUUUGACUCUAUAAAUUCAAAUUCAAGUGAAAUUUGAAUAGAAAUCUAAAUUUUUCUCCAAUUUUGAAUGACACUUAAACUAUAGAGGUCUUGUGUGUGUAUUUUUUCAAUUUUGAUCAUUUAAGAAAUUAGACUUCAAUGUUCAGACCUUAUUUGAGGCAUAAAUUUUGUGUCAUCUCUCUCCCUCUCCCUCCACUCAUCUUCUCUUACUUUCAAGCUCUUAUUCAUGACUUCCUAUGGUGGUAAGCUUAUUCUUGACUCAUUUUUUCUUAAAAAUGAGGUCUCCAAUCACCUUUCUUACUUCUUCAUUUUGUUGUCAUUGAUCUUCAAGAAGCAAAUGACUUCAUUAAUGAAAAAGAUCCAAGACCUACAAACUCUACAUAAAACUACAUCAUCCUUACUCCCUUAACAUGAAAUCACAAUCAAAAUCAUGUCCACAAAAGACAUUUUAUCCUUUAUUUUCUCCUGAACAUAGACAAAAUCACGUCCAACUUAGUAAAAGGUACCUAAAAAGUUCUUCAAGAGAAUCAAGACGAACAUGCUAUUUUCCCUGAAAAAUUCAUAAUCGUUUAUAGUUAAAACAAGUACCUUUUGUGUGCCAUGUUUUUGCCUUCAUAAUUGUGCUAUAUGAGAAUUUUCCAUUAUAAUUGUAUGUCAUGUUAUGAGGGUUGUUUAUCCGACCAAGGUUGACCUUGACUGGCCGUGUAUUGAGUCAUUAAGCAUUAAAAAAAUAUUUAUAAAUAUUUCUGGAUCGUUAAUUUAAUAUGCUAGUGAGAAAAGAGAGAAUGCUAGAUUUUUUAUCCAUAGUAAUAAAACUCAAACAUUAACAGAUUUAUAACAAAUCAUUAACAUUUUUUAACCAACUAAUUCUCCUAUUGGGAGAAUGCUAGGUUAGUUAAAAGACGAACAUACUAUUCUCCAUGAAAACUUCAUAAUCGUUUAUAGUUAAAAGAAGUACCUUUUGUGUGCCAUGUUUUUCCCUUCAUAACUGUGCUAUAUGAGAAUUUUCCAUUAUAAUUGUAUGUCAUGUUAUGAGGGUUGUUUAUACGGCCAAGGCUGAUCUUGACUGGCCGUGUAUUGAGUCAUUAAGCAUUAAAAAGAUAUUUAUAAAUAUCUCUGGAUCGUUAAUUUAAUAUGCUAGUGAGAAAAGAGAGAAUGCUAGAUUUUUUAUCCAGUGUAAUAAAACUCAAACAUUAACAGAUUUAUAACAAAUCACUAACAUUAUUUAACCAACUAGCCAUUCUCCGAUCGGGAGAAUGCUAGGUUAGUUAUGAAGUUUGAAAUGAGAGAUUGCACUAUUUGAAGUAAUAAAAUAAUCGUAAUUAGCUUAAUUAAAACAUAUAAUAUAUUGAUAAUAAUUAAUUUAAUUAUUUCAAAUUAGAAGAUAUAUUUGUUCUAAUUAUCUUAAUUAUUAUAUUUAUAUAAAUUAAUGAAUUAAAAAAUAGAAAAAAAAAUGUCUAAUAUUUUCCUGCUCAAUUGCAUACUUUUAUUAUGAUAAAGAUGUAUUCAGAGUUUGGAUUUUGCUGUUACUCUAUCAGAGUUAAUGCUACAUGUCAUUUGAUCUCUCCCUUCAGGACUAAGCUUGACUCUUGAAGCUUUUAUGUGUACUUGUCAUAUUAUUGGGUGCCGUCUUUAAAAAACAAAUCAACCUUUCGACGGUAGCUAGCUAGCUAGCUAAUGGGAAAAACUAAUUAAACAGGGCAUUAAUUAUUCCUUUCACAUAGUCAAGGUAAAGGCAUGAAGCAAAGGAAAAUCCAUCUGCGAAUAUAUAUGUUGAUUAAAACACAUGCAACAGUGGCAGUGUUCUAUUUUAUUAUUUUUGAGAAAAUAUAGUUGUGUGUUUUAUUUUUGCUUUCACGUCAGUACUACGUGGGGCAUGCAUGGUCACAAAAUCAUAUACAAUAUAUGAUGCUUGUCUCUAAGAAAACAAGCACUCGUUAUAAUUGAACCUUCACUGCUCAAAGAGGAGAGUAAUCCACUCUUUGAUCAGCUUUAACACGAGCAGACACGAGUGUUGCUGAUUUCUCUUUGGUUGGCCAAGAAGCAAAAAAAUUCAUCCCACAUACUCCCACUUUAUGACCAGUUUUUCUUUGGAUCCAAAUAUAACCAUCCAUUAUUCCCCAAUCUUUUCCCCAUGACUAUUUUGCUAUCCAAUAAUCUACACCAUCCACGGAACCAUAACCCACAAUUAAAAUAAAGUGGUUAAUCCCAUAAGGACUUGAAUAGUAUUAUUACUUACGCCAGUGUAGAAAUAAAAAUCUUUUCCGUCCAAGGCCACACUAAUUGGUUGCUCAAGGGUGGCGCACAACAAUGUGUUAAAUUAAAAUUAAAAAAGAUUUUAUUUAAAAAUAAAUAAAGUUUUUAAAAAAUAAUGAGAUUUUUACAAUUAAAUAGAUAAGAAGAAAUAAUUUUAUUAAUUAAAAUAAUAAUUUUAAGGUAAAUAAAAUAAAUCUACAUCCUUAGAAAAAAAUAUUUUAUUCAUUCAUUUGAUAAGAAAUAAAAUAGAAUUUUUUUAUAAAAUAAUAAAAUAAAGAAAAAUAAAAUAAAUAAUAGGCUCUGAGUACCCUAGUUAUAAAUAGAGACAUAUUAAGUCGGUCAGUUUUCACAUUGACAUACGUCUCUAUGCUUUGUCUUCCUCUGAAUUUUGUUUUCCCUUCAUCCCCUCUCAAAAUCCUCUCUUUUUUUAAUAUACACCCAAACCCAUUUUAGUAAAACGACGAUUUCAGACUCGUUAAUCAUUGGAUCAUCGUGAAAUUUAAACACCAGGUUCAAAACUCAUUUUCGCACAUCCCAAACGUUGGGAUUUGUAAAUAAUGUCUAUGGAGAGAAAUGUCCCUCAUACGGAGACAGUGAAACGGAGGCUCCAAUUCUUUCUCCUUCUCUUUAACGCUUGAAUACCUUAGCAAAGCUGCUAGAGACGCUGCUAUCACUACCAGACUACACACGUAAGUCCACUUAGAGGUAACAUAUGAGUUUAUUGCAAUUAGGGUUAAAAUUAAUAUGUGUAGAAAUCCUUAGAGGAUCAAAUUGAGAUUUAUUUUGGAAUGUUUACUGUAUUAUAAUUCUGCCUUUGCAAUUAUAAUUAUGAGAUUAUUAUGUUUGAUGGGUCAAUCGAUGUCUUGAUGUGAAUUGGUUGAUAAAAUUGAGUGCUCUUAGUGUUUUCAUAUUUUUGACCUAUAAUUUUGAUUCAUUUGAUUUUGAUAUGAGUAUGUGAAAUUGUUUGAGGGGUUUAAUCAUACAAACAUAACAUAUUAAUAUUAUUAUUGUCUGGCAUGUAUAUGAUGCAUGAGGAGUUAAUGCAUGACAAGUAUUGUGAUGGAAUCCACUGUGCAAACACGACGAGUUUAAUCACUUUGAGACAUGAAGAGUUAAAAUUAUUUUAAGAACAAUUGAGGAGUCAUGUGUUUUAUACAGUUCAUAGAUAAAAUUUGUGUGCUAAAAUAUUUUCUGGGUUGGACCUGAAUCAAGAGGAAGAAGCCCUGACGAACUCUUCGGAGUCUAGAUCUUAGGAGUAAAUACACCCGGUUUGAGUGAUCCUUUAAACUUGUGUCAGUUCCACAUGAUUGGAGCAUUCUCACAAAAUAACGUGACUUUAACUAGUCUCCCUAUGAUUUUACCUAGUGAGAGUAACUUGACUUACUAGUAUGUGAUAUGUCUUGUAAUGUACUCCUGGGCACCAAACAAGGUUUUUCACUAACAUGGUACCACAUUGCAUAUAUGAUUGAGUCUUAAUAUAUUUGUUGCAUAACGCUUGUGUAUUGAUCAAUAUUGAUUGGUUGAGUGGUAUUGUGUUUUGAUCGUACAUAAAUGAUGUAAAAACGUGUGAGACGUGUAGUGUUGAGAUGUGAUGUUAUGCGAUAAGUGGUGGAAUGACAUGAGUCGUGUUAAAGUAAGAUGUAUUUCAUUUAUAUGAUAUGUAUAUAUAUGUUAUCUCACUUCUCUCUAUUAGUUAGGAAUGUGAUAAUUCACUCUCUGUAUGUUAUUUGUGUUUGGAUCUUAUGAGGAUUUCGAACUUUGUGUUCGAGAGAGCAAAUGGUUAGGUGAAUGACUAUGGAUAACCCCAUGUUAAUUAGAGGAUGCUGAAACACAAUGCUCUCAUAGGAUGUAACAUUGGACCAUAGGGUUCUGUAUUAAUUGCAUGAAGUUUUGGAGAUGUAGUUUUUAUCGUUUUGUUUCACAUGUUGAAUCUUUAGUUCAUUCUUUAGAGUUUUGGACGGCCUGAUUUUGAGUCGGAGAUAUUUCUAAUAAAUUUUAUCCACGUGAAUUUGUUUAAGUGAUUUGAAUAAAGUUAAUUUAAUUAAAUUUUAAAUUCUUAUAUAUUUUUUUAAGUAUAUGUAUGUCGAGAUAAAAAGUGUUACAAUUAGACCAUCAAAAGUAUCAAUUGUAACCUUGUUUGGUGUCUACCUCCAUAAAAGGUGCACAUGCAAAACAAAGAGAUAAAAGGGUAAAUUAAUUAAUGGGUUCUAUUGUCAAAAGAAGGUAAAAGAAAGAGGGAAUGAAUUAUGGAAUCACAUAUUCAAUGAUCGUGAGAGACCUUAUUGGCUUUGCAGGUACCAUUAUUAGCUGUAUAAGGAUAAUCAACUUCAGUGGCAAUCCCACCAUUUUCUAUAACCCAUUCGUAUGCAUGAAAGUGAUAUAUCCACCGUAACAACCGCGGCUCUUAUUGACACAAUCAACGAUUUCUUGUUCAGAAAGGCUAACAAGGUCUCCUGUCACUAUUGCAUUUUUUGCUUCAAUGGCUCCCGUGGCAGAAAAUGCCCAACCGCUUCCUACCAAAAUGGUUUCACACUCCACGAGUCAUUUCCAAAUAAAAAAAAUUGAACCAUGUUAUUGUUAAUUAGAUUAUCUUCAAACUUUUGUAAAAACUAUCAAAUAUAUUUAGUUGACAAACAAAUUUUAAAAAUACAAAACUGUUUUAAGCAAAGCCUUAGUAUAGUUCUAAUGCAACUGUUUAUAUUGGUUCUUAAAAGUUAAAAUUAAGCGACUUGAGAUUACUGUUAGAACAAAUUAAUGAAUUCAUUAAAGUGCUUAUAUAAGUUGUUUGUAUAAAUAAUCGCAAACAAGGUUGUUUAAUCAUUGGAAAAAUAAAUUUCCAAGUCAAAAUUUGAGUUGUUGAACGUGAGUCAAAAGAUAAAAUGAGACUCAAUAAAAAUAAGUUAAGAAUUCAAGUUGCACUCUUUCAUUAGAAUGAAAAUUAUUGAGUAUUUUUAAAUCUUAUAUAAGAAUAAGAGGCUUACUAAAAAGAGUCAUGAUAUUCGUAUACCUCAAAAUGAGAUGGAUUUGGUUGGAAAAAGAGAUAGAAACAAAGGAAAAUGUAGAUAAAGUAAUGGAUGUGAUAAUUUAUGUGAUAUAUAUAAAAAAAAUAAAGACAGAAAGAGAGAAAAAAUAUGGUGAAAAAGAGAUGGAAGAAAAAGUAGAUGAAUAAUAAGUAUUUUGCUGCUAAAAAUGAGAAUUAAGAAACCAUAUGGUAGUAAUAUUGCACGAGUUAACAGGCCCAAAAGGAUAACCAUUAGGCCAACCCACUCAGAGACUAUGUGUGAAGGAGAUAAGGACAGAGUUGACAAAUUGCUGAGAGAUUCCACACCACCAUGUCAGCAUUCUGUUAUAACCACUUAGGAAUAUUUACCAAAUUCUGUUAUUCCAAUACUCUGCACCAGCUGGCCAAUGAUUGGCAGCAACAAUCAUCAUCUGUAUUUCAGUAUAAAUAUUACAAAUAUGAAUAAAACAAGGGCACAGAAUUAUCCAGUAACAAUUUUAGUAUAGCUUAGCAUAGUAUCGGCACCUAACAUAUAAUGUUUAUUAAUUAUGAGGGUCACUUGCACCAUCUCGUAUAUAUAGUGGUUAAUUAGUGGGUAAUGAAGUUCCUACGUACGUUGUUAAAAUACAAUAAUGUUUUAUUAUCCUAACAUACGAGGAUAUGUUUUUUGUUUGCAUUUGUGGUAUUUAAUAUAAUUGUGAUUCGGCCUACAAGCUAGCUAGCUAUAGGGAGUGUCACACAGCAAAAUAACAAGAAUUAAUUUUUAAAUUAAAACUUUUUUUGUUUUCUUCUGAUUAUUGUGGGUUAUAAAAAUGAAGAUAGAUUUAUUUCUUUCUUUAAGAUUUGUCUCUUUCUGUAAUUUUUGUGCUAAUACAAAGUGGAUUUUCUAUAGAAUAUAAUCAACUUGUAUGUAGCCAUUUUAAAAACAUUCAAUUGAUGUCAAACGUGUAAUAUUCUAUCUGUUUGUGACAUUUAGUGCUUGAAUAAUUUGAAAUGUUUGUUUCUUUGGUUAUAUAAUCUGAUGUGAAGUAGGAUACUUUUCAAAGCCUCACUCUGCAACCAUACUUGUUUCCGGUCGUUUGGUAAAAAUCAAGUGAAAUUGCAGCUUACUACGUACACAGUUGAUUUAAAGCGUACACGUUUUUAUCAGCUUAUUUCAAAGUUAAACAACCAUAUAUUUUUUUAAAAUAACAUGUAUGCAUUUAUAUUUUGUUAAACGUGUAUUCUAUCUGUUUUCUAGAUUUAUUGACCAAAUAACAAUAUUUUUCAAAUUAAAACUUUGUAUUCUUUUGUUUAUUGUGGGUUAUAAAACUGUAGUUUUCUUUCUUUCUUUAAGAUUUGUUUCUUUCUGUAAAAGGAAAUACAGUACUGGAGAACCUAUGAACGAUGAAACAUGUUAAAGAGAAAGGCAUGAAGCAAAGGAAAAUCCAUUUGUGGAUAUAUCUCAAAACACAUGCAACAGUGGCUGUGUUCUAUUAUUGACUAUCACAUUAUUUGAAGAAAAACUAGUUCUGUGUUUUAUUUUUGUCCUUCCACAUCAAUACAGCGUGGAAGAUUCAUGGUAACACAGAAUCAUGCAUACGAUGCUUGUCUCUAAGAAAACAAGCACUAGAUAGUUAACUGGACCACCUUCACGGUUCAAAGAGGAGAGUAAUCCACUCUUUGAUCAGCUUUAACGCGAGCAGACACCAGUGUUUCUGAUUUCUCUUUGAUUGGCCAAGAAGCGAAAAAAUUAAUCGCACAUACUCCAAUUGGAUUAGCAAUAUUUCUUUGGAUCCAAAUGUAUCCAUCCAUUCCCCAAUCUUUUCCAAAUGAAUUUUUUACUAUCCAAUAAUCUACACCAUCUAACGAUCCAUAACCCACUAUUAAAACAAAGUGGUUGAUCCCAUACGGACUUGAACAGUUUCCUCCAUCAUAAAUUCCCUGCACAAAUCAAUGAAUAAUAAUAAUACUAACCCCCAAUUAUAUAAUAUUCUUCCAUCAUAUCCCUAAUUAUAAUUAUAAGUUCCUUAAGAAAAAUGAUUAUUUAGUUAAUCUUAUUAAAUAUGUCAAUAAUUUUUACUAUUAUUCCAAAAAAAAUUAUUUUUCUUAUCUUUUAUUUACUUAAUUGUUUUUCAUUAAUUUUUUGAGAAAGAAUAAUUAAGUAAGGAUGUUUAGGAGAAAAAAUAAUUAAUAUAUCUAAAAAUUAGAAAAAGAUCUUAUAAAUAAAAAAACAAAACAAAUUUAUGGAAAAAAAAUAUAAUAAGGAAAGGAGGAAGUAUAUAUUACUGUAAUUAAUUACUUACGCCAGUGUAGAAAUGAAAAUCUCUUGCGUCCAUGGCCACACUAAUUGGUUGCUCAAGGGUGGCGCUCAACAGUGCUUUGUCUGUCUCUGGUUGUGUACUAUGUUCUGAUAUUAUUAGACCUCCAAAAUUGUCAAUUGUAACACUGUUCUGUGUCUACUUCCAGAAAAAGGUACACAAAUGAAAAAAAAAGAUGAAAGGCAAGAGUAAUUAAUGUGUUAUAAAUAUAUGCGUAGACAAGCAAAGUUGUCAAAAGAAGGUAACAGAUCGAGGGAAUGAAAUCACAUAUUCACAUACCUUAUUGGCUUUGCAUGUACCAUGAUCUUCAGCUGUGUAAGGAUAGUCAACUUCAGUGGCAAUUCCACGAUUUUCUAUAACCCAUUCAAAUGCAUGAAAGUGAUAUCCACCGUUACAACUGUUGGCUUUAUAGACACAAUCUGUGAUUUCUUGUUCAGAAAGGCUAACAAGGUUUCCUGUCACUAUUGCAUUUUUUGCUUCAAUAGCUCCCGUGGCAGAAAAUGCCCAACCAUUUCCUAUAUAUCAAAAUGGUUUUCACACUCCACAAAUCAUUUACAAAUAAUAUACAAAAGAAGUUAAUUAGUGUUACUAGCUAUUUAUUAUUAGGUUUAAAUACUUUUUUCCCUAUAGUAUCUUUUUAUUUUUUGUACAUCCUUAACACAUUUUAAAUGAUACCUUAAACAGUAAAAAAAUAUUAUUUAAAAUACUUUAAAAAUAAAAAAAAAACAAAAAUAAAUAUAUUUUGUAAAAACUAAAAAUAAUAAUAAAAACAAAAAUAAAAAAUAAAAUACUAAAUUAGAAGGAAAAAAAAUUAACUUUAUUACUAACAUAGUAACAUCACAUACCACAGUCCCCUUGGUACUUUACUUGGGUGAUGACACCUUUUUACCUCCAAUCCCAUGAUGCAGGUGGAUGGUCACAAGAAUGUUGUUCCUUCUUCAUUUUCUUGUUGGCCAUUUUGAUUUGCUGCGACACAUCCUUGGGAGCUUGUAAGUACUUUUUGCUGAACUCUUGAGGAGUGAUGUCAGCAAACUUGUUCAAUCCUAAACGAUGAGAAUGGGGUGAUUUUCUGUUUGCAUUCAUGUCCCUGAUAUAGUUCAAGUUAUUCUUGAAAAUCUCAAGUCUCUUUGCCUCUUCUUCGUGGUUAUGGUAGACACGUCCAUGCUCACUCUUCCAUAGUUGGAACAGUGAAGACACCUGUUUCUGUGUGGUAAACUUGGAUAGGUCAAGGUCCAAUAUGGAGCGAUGAGUUGAUAUGCUGGAACUAGAAGAGAGACCUAAGAGGGAGAUAAGAAGCAACACAAGGAAACCCAUAACUUG